rnacentral:lncRNA from 1 species
AAGAAGAUCCUAAAGGCUUUACUUGGCACAAACACUAAUUAAAAAAUAAAAAACACAAUCAUAAUAGAGUAUAGAUGAAUUAUUUAUUACUAAACAGGAACAAAAGGCAAGGAACAAAAAUAAAAUUGGGUUGCCUCCCAACAAGCGCUAUCGUUUAACGCCCCUAGCUAGGCAUAAAAACAAGAAUAGAUCUAGGUAUUGCCAUGAUAAUGAUAAGGCAAAUCGCGAAAACUCAUCUCAUACUCCCUACGUUCAGCAGCAAGUUUUCUUUGUGGCAAGCAAAAGUAAUCAAAAGGGCUAAAUUUAAUGGGACAAACGUCCCCAAGAUCAAGCUCGGGAGGUAUUGGUUCCUCCUUUGGCCCCUCAUAUUGCACAACCAAUUCAUCAUUAUAAGCAUUCUUUUGGCAAAAAAUCAUUAGCCUUUGUUCAAGGGGAAAACCUAACCCAUUGUUCUGGAUAGCAAAGUUAUCAUUAAGUUCAGAAAUCCUGUCAACUAGAACAUCGGUAGGAACCUUUUUCUAAGGUUUUCAUUAAAAGCAACAUGAUCUAAAGAUCAUAAGCGCAUUAUGUCUUCUUGAUAAAGAAGGAUUGCUUUUAUGGGAGGACGGCCGGCAUCCACCCAAUAAUGCGCAAAAUUUUUGUUGGCCUCUUUUAUUAUAAUCUGAACUCAUGAGCUAAAAAGAUGGUAGCUGCUCACUUAACAGAAGAAUGCUCAAUAUUGGAAAAUUCUAGAAAAAUCCUCUGUAUGCAAAGAUGCAUGUGGAUAAAUUGUCUUUCAAGUUCAACCACGAGCAAAGAUAUAGCAUCCGCAAGACUACUAGUUUUAUGAAGAAUAGACCCGCCCAUAGUGGGCAAAGCACCGGCGCAAGUAAAGAAAUCUUGAAUGACUCCUUUUACAAUAAUAUUACCACUACAAAUCCGAAACUUUUUAGUGUGUAAAAUAGUAGGUUCUUCAUGAGGAUAAUUGCUACCUCUUGAGCACUGCGUUGGAUUUCCCCGAAGAGGAAAGGAUGAUGCAGCAAAGUAGUGUAAGUAUUUCCCUCAGUUUUUGAGAACCAAGGUAUCAAUCCAGUAGGAGGCUACGCGCGAGUCCCUCGUACCUGCACAAAGCAAAUAGCUCCUCGCAACCAACGCGAUAAGGGGUUUUCAAUCCCUUCACGGUCACUUACGAGAGUGAGAUCUGAUAGAUAUGAUAAGAUAAUUUUUUUGGUAUUUUUAUGAUAAAGAUGCAAAGUAAAAUAAAAGCAAAGUAAAAAAGCAAAGGAAAUAACUAAGUAUUGGAAGAUUAAUAUGAUGAAGAUAGACCCGGGGGCCAUAUGUUUCACUAGUGGCUUCUCUCAAGAGCAUAAGUAUUCUACGGUGGUUGAACGAAUUACUGUUGAGCAAUUGACAGAAUUGAGCAUAGUUAUGAGAAUAUCUAGGUAUGAUCAUGUAUAUAUAUAGGCAUCACGUCCGAGACAAGUAGACCGACUCCUGCCUGCAUCUACUACUAUUACUCCACUCAUCGACCGCUAUCCAGCAUGCAUCUAGAGUAUUAAGUUCAUGAAAACAGAGUAACGCCUUAAGCAAGAUGACAUGAUGUAGAGGGAUAAACUCAUGCAAUAUGAUGAAAACCCCAUCUUGUUAUCCUCGAUGGCAACAAUACAAUACGUGCCUUGCUGCCCCUACUGUCACUAGGAAAGGACACCACAAGAUCGAACCCAAAGCUAAGCACUUCUCCCAUUGCAAGAAAGAUCAAUCUAGUAGGCCAAACCAAACUGAUAAUUCGAAGAGACUUGCAAAGAUAACCAAUUAUACAUAAAAGAAUUCAGAGAAGAUUCAAAUAUUGUUCAUAGAUAGACUUGAUCAUAAACCCACAAUUCAUCGGUCUCAACAAACACACCGCAAAAAGAAGAUUACAUCGAAUAGAUCUCCACAAAAGAGGGGGAUAACAUUGUAUUGAGAUCCAAAAAGAGAUAAGAAGCCAUCUAGCUAAUAACUAUGGACCCGUAGAUCUGAGGUAAACUACUCACACUUCAUCGGAGGGGCUAUGGUGUUGAUGUAGAAGCCCUCCGUGAUGGAUACCCCCUCCGGCGGAGCUCCGGAACAGGCCCCAAGAUGGGAUCUCGUGGAUACAGAAAGUUGUGGUGGUGGAAUUAGGGUUUUGGCCCCGUAUCUGAUCGUUUGGGGGUACGUAGGUAUAUAUAGGAGGAAGGAGUACAUCGGUGGAGCAACAACAGGCCAACGAGGGGGGCAGGCGCGCCCCCUACCUCGUGGCCUCCUCCUUUGUUUCUUGACGUAGGGUCCAAGUCUCAGGGAUCAUGUUCAGUGAGAAAAUCACAUUCCCGAAGGUUUCAUUCCGUUUGGACUCCAUUUGAUAUUCCUUUUGUUUGAAACCCUAAAAUAGGCAAAAAUAGCAAUUCUGGGCUGGGCCUCCGGUUAGUACGUUAGUACCAAAAAUAAUAUAAAAGUGGAUAAUAAAGCCCAAUAAUGUCCAAAACAGUAGAUAAUAUAGCAUGGAGCAAUCAAAAAUUAUAGAUACGUUGGAGACGUUUCAAGUAUCCCAAGCUUAAUUCCUGCUCGACCUCGAGUAGGUAAAUGAUAAAAAUAGAAUUUUUGAUGCGGAGUGCUACUAGGCAUAAUUUCAAUGUAAUUCUUCUUAAUUGUGGCAUGAAUAUUCAGAUCCGAAAGAUUCAAGAUAAAAGUUCAUAUUGACAUAAAAAUAUUAAUACUUCAAGCACACUAACUAAGCAACAAUGUCUUCUCAAAAUAACAUGGACAAAGAAAGUUCAUCCCUAUGAAAUCAUAUAGUUUAGUCAUGCUCCAUUUUUGUCACACAAGCUCUCAUAAUGCACAACCCCGAUGACAAGCCAAGCAAUUGUUUCAUACUUUAGUAAUCUCAAACCUAUAAACUUUCACGCAAUAUAUGAGGGCGAGCCAUGGAUAUAGCACUAUGGGUGGAAUAGAAUAUGAUGAUGGGGGUUAUGUGGAGAAGACAAAAAGGAGAAAGUCUCACAUCAACGAGGCUAAUCAAUGGGCUAUGGAGAUGCCCAUUGAUUGAUGUUAAUCCGAGGAGUAGGGAUUGCCAUGCAACAGAUGCACUAGAGCUAUAAAUGUAUGAAAGCUCAACAAAAGAAACUAAGUUGGUGUGCAUCCAACUUGCUUGCUCACGAAGACCUAGGGCACUUGUGGAGGCCCAUUGUUGGAAUAUACAAGCCAAGUUCUAUAAUGAAAAUUCCCACUAGUAUAUGAAAGUGACAAAACAAAAGACUCUCUAUCAUGAAGAUAUGGUGCUACUUUGAAGCACAAGUGUGGCAAAGGAUAGUAGAAUUGUCCCUUUUAUUUUAUUUUAUUUGUCCUUUCUUUUUUUGGCCUUUUUUUAUUUGGGACAAUGCUCUAUUAAUGAUGAUCAUCACACUUCUAUUUAUUUACAACUCAAUGAUUACAACUCGAUACUAGAACAAAAGAUGACUCUAUAUGAAUGCCUCCGGCGGUGUACCGGGAUAUGCAAUGAAUCAAGAGUGACAUGUAUGAAAAUUAUGAAUGGUGUCUUUGCCACCAAUACUAUGUCAACUACAUCAUCAUGCUAAGCAAUAUGACAAUGAUGAAUAUGUCAUGAUAAAAGGAAUGGUGGAAAGUUGCAUGGCAAUAUAUCUCGGAAUGGCUAUGGAAAUGCCAUAAUAGGUAGGUAUGGUGGCUGUUUUGAGGAAGAUAUAAGGAGGUUUAUGUGUGAAAGAGCGUAUCAUAUCACGGGGUUUGGAUGCACCAGCGAAGUUUGCACCAACUCUCAAUGUGAGAAAGGGCAAUGCACGGUACCGCAGAGGCUAGCAAUGAUGGAAGGGUGAGAGUGCGUAUAAUCCAUGGACUCAACAUUAGUCAUAAAGAACUCACAUACUUAUUGCAAAAAUAUACAAGUCAUCAAAAACCAAAGCACUACGCGCAUGCUCCUGGGGGGAUAGAUUGGUAGGAAAAGACCAUCGCUCGUCCCCGACCGCCACUCAUAAGGAGGACAAUCAAAUAACACCUCAUGUUUCAAAUUUGUUACAUAACGUUUACCAUACGUGCAUGCUACGGGACUUGCAAACUUCAACACAAGCAUUUCUCAAAUUCACAACUACUCAACUAGCACGACUUUGAUAUUAUUACCUCCAUAUCUCAAAACAAUCAUCAAGCAUCAAACUUCUCUUAGUAUUCAAAACACUCAUAAGAAAUUUUUUACUAAUCUUGAAUACCUAGAAUAUUAGGAUUAUUUAAGAAAAUUACCAUGCUAUUUAAGACUCUCAAAAUAAUAUAAGUGAAGCAUGAGAGAUCAAUAGUUUCUAUAAAACAAAUCCACCACCGUGCUCUAAAAGAUAUAAGUAAAGUACUAGAGCAAAACUAUAUAACUCAAAAGAUAUAAGCGAAGCAAAUAGAGUAUUCUAACAAAUUCUAAAUUAUGUAUGGCUCUCUCAAAAGGUGUGUACAGCAAGGAUGACUGUGGUAAAGUAGCAAAUAAAGACUCAAAGCAUACAAGAUGCUCCAAGCAAAACACAUAUCAUGUGGUGAAUAAAAAUAUAGCUCCAAGUAAAGUUACUGAUAGAAGUAGACGAAAGAGGGGAUGCCUUCCGGGGCAUCCCCAAGCUUUGGAUUUUAGGUGCCCUUAGAUUAUCUUGGGUGUGCCAUGGGCAUCCCCAAGCUUAGGCUCUUGCAACUCCUUGUUCCAUAAUCCAUCAAAUCUUUACCCAAAACUUGAAAACUUCACAACACAAAACUUAAAGUAGAAAAUCUUGUGAGCUCCGUUAGCGAAAGAAAACAAAAGACCACUUAAAGGUACUGUAAUUAACUCAUUAUUUAUUUAUAUUAGUGUUAAACCUACUGUAUUCCAACUUAUCUAUAGUUUAUAAACUAUUUUACUAGCCAUAGAUACAUCAAAAUAAGCAAACAACACACGAAAAACAGAAUCUGUCAAAAACAGAACAGUCUGUAGUAAUCUGUAGCUAGCACAAGAUCUGGAACCCCAAAAAUUCUAAAAUAAAUUUACGGACGUGAGGAAUUUAUAUAUUAAUCAUCUUCAAAAUAAUUAACUAAAUAUCACUUUCCAAAUGAAAAUGUCAGCAGUUCUCGUGAGCACUAAAGUUUCUGUUUUUACAGCAAGAUAUCAAGACUUUCCCCAAGUCUUCCCAACGGUUCUACUUGGCACAAACACUAAUUAAACAUAAAAAACACAACCUAAACAGAGGCUAGAUAAAUUAUUUAUUACUAAACAGGAGCAAAAAGCAAGGAAUAAAAAAUAAAAUCGGGUUGCCUCCCAACAAGCGCUAUCGUUUAACGCCCCUAGCUAGGCAUAAAAAACAAGGAUAGAUCUAGGUAUUGCCAUCUUUGGUAGGCAAUCCAUAAGUGGCUCUCACAAUAGAUUCAUAAGGUAAUUUAAUUUUCUUUCUAGGAAAGUGUUCUGUGCCUUUCCUUAACGGAAAUUGGAAUCUAAUAUUUCCUUCCUUCAUAUCAAUAAUUGUACCAAUCGUUCUAAAAAAAGGUUUACCAAGAAUAAUAGGACAUGAAGGAUUGCAAUCUAUGUCAAGAACGAUAAAAUCUACGGGCACAUAAUCCCUAUUUGCAACAAUAAUAACAUCAUUAAUUCUUCCCAUAGGUUUCUUAAUAGUGGAAUCCGCAAGGUGCAAGUUUAGAGAGCAAUCAUCAAAAUCACGGAAACCUAACAAAUCACACAAGGUCUUUGGAAUCGUGGAAACACUAGCACCCAAAUCACAUAAAGCAUAGAACUCAUGAUCUUUAAUAUUAAUUUUAAUAGUUGGUUCCCAGUCAUCAUAAACUUUUCUAGGGAUAGAAACUUCCAAUUCAAGUUUUUCUUCAUAAGAUUGCAUCAAGGCAUCAACGAUAUGUUUAGUAAACGCUUUAUUUUGACUAUAAGCAUGAGGAGAAUUUAGCAUGUAACAAGGAAAUACAAUCAAUCAAAGAGCAAUUUUCAUAAUUAAAUUCCUUGAAAUCCAAAAUAGUGGGUUUAGCAACAUCUAGGUUUUUAAUUUCUUCAAUCCCACUUUCAUCAAUUUUAGCAUCAAGAUCUAAAAACUCUGAAUUCUUGGAACGCCUUCUAGGUAAAGGUGGAUCAUAUUCAGUCCCAUCAUUAUUAAGAUUCAUAUUGCAAAACAAAGAUUUAACAGGGGACAAAUCAAUAACUUUUAGAUCUUCAUCUUUAUUUUCAUAGGAACUAGAAGAACACGCUCUUAUAAAGACAUCUUUCUUAGCACACAUCCUAGCGGUUCUUUCUUUGCACUCAUCAAUGGAAACUCUCAUGGAUUUGAGAGACUCAUUGAUAUCAUGCUUAGGUGGAAUAGAUCUAAGUUUCAAAUAAUAAACAUCAAGAGAAAUUCUAUCAACGUUCCUAGCCAACUCAUCAAUCUUAAGCAAUUUUUCUUCAAUCAAAGCAUUGAAAUUCUUUUGCGAAGUAAUAAAUUAUUUAAUAUUAGAUUCAAAAUUAGAGGGCUUCUUUUUAUAAUUUCCAUAAGAAUUGUUGUAGGAAUCACCAUAAUUAUUAGAGGGAUUACUAGGAUAAGGCCUAGGAUUAAAAUUUCCUCUAUACGCGUUGUUACCAAAAUUGUUCCUACCAACAAAAUUCACAUCCAUAGAUUCAUUAUUAUUCUCAAUCAAAGUAGACAAGGGCAUAUCGUUAGGAUUAGAAGAAACACUUUUACUAGCAAAUAAUUUCAUAAGUUCAUCCAUCUUUCCACUCAAAAAGUUAAUUUCUUCUAUCGCAUGCACCUUUUUAUUAGUAGAUCUUUCAGUAUGCCUGUCGGUGUCAAAACCGGCGGAUCUCGGGUAGGGAGUCCCGAACUGUUCGUCUAGGCUGGAUGGUAACAGGAGGCAAGGGACACGAAGUUUUACCCAGGUUCGGGCCCUCUUGAUGGAGGUAAAACCCUACGUCCUGCUUGAUUAAUAUUGAUGAUAUGGGUGUUACAAGAGUAGAUCUACCACGAGAUCGGAGAGGCUAAACCCUAGAAGCUAGCCUACAGUAUGAUUGUAUGUUGUGAUUGUUGUCCUACGGACUAAAACCCUUCGGUUUAUAUAGACACCGGAGAGGGUUAGGGUUACACAAGGUCGGUUACAAAGGAGGAGAUAUCCAUAUACGUAUUGCCUAGCUUGUCUUCCACGCCAAGUAGAGUCCCAUCCGGACACGAGACGAAGUCUUCAAUCUUGUAUCUUCAUAGUCUAUCAGUCCGGCCAAUGGAGAUAGUCCGGCUGUCCGGAGACCCCCUAAUCCAGGACUCCCUCAGUAGCCCCCGAACCAGGCUUCAAUUACGAUGAGUCCGGCGUGCAGUUGUCUUCGGCAUUGCAAGGCAGGUUCCUUCUCCAAAUUCUGUGUACCUGUCGAAAUAAUGUCCGGUUCCUUGUGACGGUUUGUACUCAUUGGCUUCUACACCCAAUAGUGGCCACUUUCCACGUGUUGAGCGAAUGUGAAGAGCCAGGGUGUUUUCACAUUUACCCCCCUAGCUAUGUAGAUGAGCCGCCUAUUUAAAAAGACGAGGAUUCAGAUCCAAAUCACAUCAUCCUCCCUUGCCGAGUCUUCAUCGGAGCGCGCCCGACAGAGAUCCAUUCCACCAUGGCUGGUCGACGCAGCUCCUCCUCUCGCACCCCUAGUUCCAAGCCUGGAGAUUGGGAGAGAUGUUCCAUCUCGCACAGCAAAUUGGUGAUGCUUCAGUCCAAGGGAUUUCUUCCCUAGCGUAUCUGGUCCCGGUUCGAGCCGGGCUUGUCACCUAUAAUGGCGGAGAGCAAGCGGAGAGCCAUCCCAAUCCCUCCAAGGGAGAGCGGGUAUGCCUUGUCCCUUAUCUGGUAAGAGGGCUCGGAUUCCCAGUCCAUCCAUUUCUCCGGGGGCUUCUGGAGUUCUAUGGCCUCCAGCUGCACAACCUUACGCCUGCCUCCCUGCUGCAUAUCGCGGGAUUCGUAGCCCUUUGCGAGUUAUUUUUGGGCUGUGAGGCUCAUUUCGCUUUGUGGAAGAAGUUGUUCUGCCUUGUGCCCCGUUCUAAGAAGGGAUCAAUAUAUCAAGUGGGCGGAGCCGAAGUGUGGUGUAUUGCUGGGACCGAAUACCUAUCCGGGACCCUGAAGAAGACGUCCGAAGACUGGCCUUCAGAAUGGUUUUAUAUAGAAGAUGUCCCCCUUCCGGACCCUAUUCGGAUCGGCCUUCCUGAGUUUGACAACGCCCCUUUGAAGAAGCGCCAGAGCUGGCGUCCACGGAGCCCCCUGGAGGAAGACGACCGGGACAUUCUUUAUCUGAUGAGCCAGAUAAGCUCUUUAGCUCGAUCCGGAUUGACCAUGAUCGAGGUCAUGGCUAUAUGCAUUAUGCGGGGGGUGUAGCCGCUCCAGUAUAGAGGCCACCCCAUGUGGGACUUCAACGGGGAGGAUGACGCCACCCGCCACGGCCGCAAAGGGCCGAGAUCGGCUGCUGACCUAACAAAGAUCUUGUCCACUUUGUACAAAAGAGAAGAGGAGGAAUUCCUCUAUGUCAACCCGCGGGGCAGAUUCUCUAUGUACAAUCCUCCGAGCUGGGUAAGCGGAGACUUUUUCUCGCCCAUCCGUUUCGUAUUCCCGUAACUUAAGUAUUCAUUCUGGCGAUUUUAUCACAGGAGCUGCACCAGGCCGUAAAGGAGAUAAAUAGCCCUCCUCCACAGCCCGAGGACCCUGGAUGGUCCCUUGACCCGGCUUCCUAGGAGGAUCCGGACAUAUCCGUGGAGCUGAUCGACGGGGUUUUUUACCAAGGGAGUAAUGACAAUAUCUUGGUGGCCAUUACGGCCGAUUACCCUGGGCUAGUUCCAGCCUCACAGGUGACUGAGACCGAAAUCCCAGCACUUAAAAAGGGAUCCGUCCUUGUGCUCUCUCUUUUUUUCUAUUGUUGUAUAACAGCCGUGUCUUGCAGGGGAGGUCCUCGGGGCAGAAGGCCGAGCCGGCGGCAACUAGCCAACAAGGGGCCGCUAGGCCAAGCAGGCUGAAAAGAUCCAUAGUCCGGAUUGAGGCACCGGCGCAGCGAUAUGGCGCGCCAUCUUUAUUCAAAGACAUUAGUUACAGAGGCAUAUUAACGCCCAUGCCUUCUUUUUAGGAAAAAGAGCGCUCGCCGGACUAUGCCCGGAGAGGCUACCAAUCGCGCCUCCACAAGCCAGGCUCCAAGGCCGGACUCAGAGGUGGGAACGAGUACGAGGCGUGCGUCGGGUGCUCCUCCAACAGAGGAUACGGAUAGACUGUCCGCCACCCAUUCCGAGGUGGAAAGUGCCAUGAACCACAGGCGUCGCCGGACUGUUCUUCGUGACGCUUGUUUCUCCCAAGAGGCAUUGGAUGCCUUCAACUCGGGAGACGCGCACCUCCGUGCUGCUCAAAAUGGUCUAGCCAGAGCCACGGAGCAGUAUGUGAAAGACAUACGGGUGAGAAAAUUUGAUGAUUAUAUAUAUCAGUAGCCCCUGAGACUUGAAACAGUUAGGAUAACUGAUUUAAGGAUCACUUGUUAUGUAGGUUCUUACAGAAAAGAAUACUCAACUGUCCCAGGAGCUGGAAGAGUGUAAAUCCCAACUCCAGGCCGCAAUGGCCGCAACAGGGGAGCCCAAAGAGACCCCUCUGGUAUCAUAUCCUUCAAAUGAUAAGUAUCAUAUUAGAGUGUGGCUUUAUAUGCAGAUCUGAUGAUAAAAUUGCAGAUGACGCUGGGGUGAAUCCGGAUAAGCAACAACUCAUACGCCAGCUGAAGGCCGGUGAGAGCAUGCUUACGAGGGUGAGGCAGGAGAAGAAUGAUCUCCAAGAUGCCAACACCAAGCUGGGCGUGGAACUAAAAGAUGUUCGUGCCCAACUGUCGGACUCUGUUAAGGAGAAUCGGAGGCUUCGAUGCGGCAUAUUUAGUAAGUGCUUGAACAAACUUUGAAAAAGAGUUCAGCGAGGAAGCUGGCUGACAGAGUUAUGUCUGUAGGUAUGCUAACAGGUCGUCCUGUCGAGGAGAUGUCUAGUUCAACAGGUGAUCUUCUUCCCGAGCUCGCACAGUUGCACGAACGAGUUCGGCAGGUGAUGCAAGGCGUUUCCCAGGCCUUGUGGCCGUCCGUUUCCAUACCCGAAGGCCUUGGAGAGCUUGCAGAAAAGCUGAAGGGAGCACGGGGGCGUUUCCGAUUAUGGAAGAUAUCAGCCUGCCAUCAAGGCGCCAGGGAAGCUUGGGCAAUGGUGAAGACACGGUACACGAAGGCUGACCCAAACCACAUGGCCGAAGUUGGACCUGUCGGGCCUGAUGGCAAGGAGAUCCCUGUGAAUUUAGUGUACGGCCAAGUAGAAUUGGCCGCAAAGUAUUCCCAACUGGACUAUAGACUAGACAGCCUAUUGGAGGGCAUUGAAGAGGAAUUCAACCAGUCAAAUUGACUAUGUAAUUUUAAAGUGACAUAUAUGAUGUCUUCUAGCCGGAUUGUAGAUCGUUUGUCGUGGCGGACCUUUUCGCUUCAACCUCGGGACCCGACAGUCCGGACUGUAUCCGAAUACCCUCUCAGUUAUAUAAGAACCGGGGCAUGCAUGGAGACCAGGCAUAGGGGUCAUUAGUGCUUUAUCAGACAAGUGCCCAACUAGUUAUGUUAUAUUACAUGGGUAGUAAGAAACAUCUUCCAGUGAGAAUAGUUCCGUUAAGGGUUCCUUUCCCUUGGUAGGCAUGCCCUAAAGUGCAUGUCCGGACUGCGACAAGAAGCACAGUGAAAACGUCUGGGGGCAGAUAUGGAUAAUAAAUAAAAGUCAUCUUUUGUUCACCGACCAAAUAUUCUCUUAAGAACGCUGGCUUUCGGCUUCACCCAGUCUGAGGUACAUGUCCGGCUGACCCGGCGGUAACAAUCGCAGAGGUGCUCCCCUUAUGCCCUAGCCGAAUUAACGGGAACAUAGGGCAUAAAUACAAGAGCUAGUCAACCCAGCUUGGCCAAAACUUAAGUCAUAUCGAUGCAUAUAAUGGUGAAAAAAGGUACAUGCAGAAGUAUAACACAUGUGUUGGGCGUUGGGCCCAGGUAAAUAAUUUAAGCUUCUGUGAGAGAAGCCCCAGGUAUGAAGAGUGCGGCUAGCGCAUCUAUGAUGUAUGAGUGAGGCACAAGGUGAUCCUUGAAGGCCUAGGGAAAUAAAAAGAAAGAAAGGGAAACAAGACAGAUGAUGCAUAUGCAGAAAAUGGACGAAGGGAGGGGACUAACGUAAAGUCCGGAGCUAGGCAUAGAAUCUUCGGAGCCUGGCUGCGUUCCAUGGGUUCGGCUCGAGUCGACUGGUCGAUGCAUCCCGCAGUCGGUACGCUCCACCGGUCAGAACUUGGUUGAUAAUGAAGAGACCUUCCCAUUUGGGCUCGAGCUUGUUCUUUUUCUUGUCCGGCAGCCGUAGAACUAGUUCGCCAACGUUAUAAGUUUUGGCCCGUACUUCUCUACUUUGGUAUCUGCGAGCCUGCUGCUGGUAAAAUGCGGAACGGGCUUUGGCUACAUUGUGCUCUUCCUCCAAUGUGUCCAGACUGUCCUGCCGAUCGAGCUCAGCUUCUCUUUCUUCGUACAUGCGCACUCGAGGUGAGUCAUGAAUUAUGUCACAGGGCAGGACUGCCUCUGUGCCGUACACCAUAAAAAUGGUGUAUAUCCGGUACUACGAUUCGGCGUGGUCCGCAGUCCCCAGAGUACGGAGUCGAGCUCCUCUACCCAGUGCGUAUCAGACUCCGUUAGGGAGCGCACUAAUCGGGGUUCAAUGCCGCUCAUUAUAAGACCAUUUGCUCGUUCGACUUGACCGUUGGUUUGUGGGUGAUAGACUGAAGCGUAAUCGAGCUUGAUGCCCAUUUUGCUGCACCAGAGUUUUACCUUGUCGGCCGUGAAGUUCGUGCCGUUAUCAGUGAUGAUGCUGUGGGGGACGCCGUAACGGUGUACAACCCCGGAUAUGAAAUCUAUCACCGGUCCAGAUUCGGCUGUUUUUACAGGUUUAGCCUCUAUCCAUUUGGUGAAUUUAUCCACCAUGACCAAUAAGUAUUUUUUUUCUUGUGGGUUCCCCCUUUAAGGGGUCCAACCAUGUCAAGCCCCCAGACCGUGAAGGGCCAUGUAAUGGGGAUCAUUUUGAGUGCGGUGGGUGGCAUGUGGCUUUGAUUUGCAAAGAGCUGGCAACCGGUGCAAUGUUGGACCAAGUCAUGUGCAUCUGCCCGGGCCGUUGGCCAAUAAAAUCAUGUGCGGAAGGCCUUGCUUACAAGAGCCCGGGCUGCGGCGUGAUGACCGCCGAGUCCGGCGUGAAUUUCUGCCAAUAGAUUCCACCCUUCCUCUUCGAAGAUGCACCUUUGAAGGACUCUGGUAGCGCUUUUUUUGUACAAUUCUCCCUCGUGGACCCUGUAGGCUUUGGAUUGCCGCACUAUGCAGCGUGCCUCAUUUUGGUCCUCCGGAAGUUCCUGUCUAAUUAGGUAGGCCAGGAAUGGUUCUGUCCACGGGGCAAUAAUGGCCAUUAUUUCGUGGGCUGAUUGUGUUAUUCCGGUGGCGGAGCCUCCGAUUGUGUCAGAGAGUUCGGUAUCAGGUAUUUUGGCCGGGUCCGGACUGUUGUUACCGGUGUCCCCUUCCCAUGCUACGUAUGGCUUGAAAAGCCUUUCCAGAAAAAUGUUGGGAGGGACCGCGUCGCAUUUUGCGCCAAUGCGGGCGAGGAUAUCCGCCGCCUGAUUGUUUUCCCGAGCCACGUGGUGAAAUUCGAGCCCCUCGAACCGAGCUAACAUUUUUAGGACGGCAUUGCGAUAAGCGGCCAUUUUUCGAUCCUUGGCAUCGAAGUCUCCGUUUAUUUGGGAUAUCGCGAGGUUUGAAUCCCCGCUCACCUCUAGGCGUUGAAUGCCCAUGGAUACUGCCAUCCGGAGACCAUGUAGAAGGGCCUCAUAUUCGGCUGCGUUGUUGGAGUUCGUAUACAUUAUCUGCAGUACGUAUUGAACGGUGUCUCCUGUUGGGGACGUCAAAACGACGCGAGCCCCCAGACCAGCCAACAUUUUCGAGCCAUCGAAGUGCAUGAUCCAGUUUGAAUAUGUGUCGUACUCUUUAGGGAGUUCGGCUUCCGUCCAUUCAGCGACGAAGUCAGCCAAAACUUGCGAUUUAAUAGCUCGCCGUGGCUUGUAAGUUAUGUCGAACGGGAGGAGCUCAAUGGCCCAUUUGGCAACCCGGCCCAUCGCGUCACGGUGGUUUAUAAUAUCAUUAAGUGGUACUUCCGAGGCUACCGUUAUCGAACACUCUUGAAAGUAGUGUCACAGCUUCCGGGAUGCCAUAAAUACCGCGUACGCUAUCUUUUGAUAAUGCGGGUACCGUGAUUUGCAUGGAGUAAGGACAGUGGACACGUAGUAAAUCGGCUUUUCAAGGGGAGAUUUGUGUCCGUCCACUUCUCGCUCAACGACAAGCAUUGCGCUUACUACUUGAUGAGUUGCCGCAAUGUAUAAUAGCAUUGGUUCGCCAAUGUUUGGCGCGGCCAGGACUGGGUUUGUUGCCAAUAUGGCCUUUAUUUCAUUGAGUCUGGCCGUGGCGGCGUCCGUCCACUCAAAGUGUUUGGUGCGCCGGAGGAGGCGAUAAAGGGGUAAUGCCUUUUCUCCCAAGCGGGAGAUAAAGCGGCUUAGAGCCGCCACGCAUCCAGUUAAUUUUUGUAUUUGUUUGAGGUCUGUUGGGGUAGUCAACUAUGACAAUGCUCGAAUUUUGGCCGGAUUAGCUUCAAUACCUCUACUGGAGACAAUGAAUCCCAGGAGCUUUCCUGCUGGUACGCCGAAAACGCAUUUUUCCGGAUUGAGCUUGAUGUCAUAUGUUUGGAGGUUGUCGAAUGUGAGCCUCAAGUCGUCUACUAGAGUUUUGACAUGCUUGGUUUUAACGACAACGUCAUGCACGUAUGCCUCCACUGUUUUGCCGAUCUAGUUUGCCAGGCAUGUCUGAAUCAUGCGCUGAUAUGUUGCACCGGCGUUUUUUAGCCCGAAGGGCAUUGUGUUGUAGCAGAAUGGGCCGUAUGGUGUGAUGAAUGCCGUUGCGGCUUGGUCUGGCUCCGCCAUUUUGAUUUGAUGGUAGCCGGAGUAUGCGUCGAGGAAACACAAUGAGUUGUGUCCUGCGGUAGCAUCGAUGAUUUGAUCGAUGCGGGGGAGGGGGAAGGGAUCCUUUGGGCAGGCCUUGUUAAGGUCCUUAAAAUCGACGCACAAGCGCCAGGAUUUGUCCUUCUUUGGUACCAUCACCAGGUUUGCUAGCCAGUCCGGAUGUUUUAUGUCUCUGAUGAAUCUGGCCUCCAAUAGCUUGGCUAGUUCCUCUCCCAUGGCUUGUCUUUUAGGCUUGGAGAAACGUCGAAGAGCCUGCUUGACUGGCUUGAAUCCUUUUAGGAUAUUUAGGCUGUGUUCAGCCAGCCUGCGUGGGAUUCCUGGCAUGUCUGAAGGGUGCCAGGCAAAAAUUUCCCAGUUCUCACAUAGGAAUUCUCGCAGUGCGGCGUCGACAUCAGGGUUUAAUUGUGACCCGAUGGAAGCUGUUUUUGUAGGGUCCGUUGGAUGGACUUGGAAUUUGACUAUUUCGUCCGCCGGUUUAAAGGAGGUGGACUUGGAUCUUUUAUCGAGUAUCACGUCAUCCCUGUUCACUGUGGAGCGCAGCGCAGUUAGUUCUUCGGCCAUUAGGGCUUCGGAUAGUGCCUCAAGGGCUAGUGCAACUGUCUUAUUUUCAGCACGGAGUGCUAUGUCCGGAUCACUAACAAGAGUGAUGAUUCCGUUGGGCCCGGGCAUUUUGAGCUUCAUGUACCCGUAAUGGGGUAUGGCUUGGAAGAUUGUAAACGCCUCCCUCCCUAAUAGAGUGUGGUAUCCGCUGCUGAACGGGGCCACUUGGAAUGUAAUUUCUUCGGACAUGUAAUUAUCCGACGUGCCGAAUACCACGUCUAGUGUGAUUUUUCCAGCGCAGCGUGCUUCCCGACCGGGGAUGAUUCCUCUAAAGGUUGUGCUACUUUGCUUAAUGCGGCUCCAGUCUAUUUCCAUAUUUUGAAGAGUUUCCUCAUAGAUGAGGUUUAAUCUGCUGCCGCCGUCCAUGAGUACCUUGGUGAGUCGAAAGCUGUCCAUGAUUGGACCGAGGACUAGUGCGGCUGGUACUCGGACUGUUCGGAAUUUAGGUUCGUCACUUGCAUUGAAGGUAAUAGCCGUGUCGCUCCAAGGAUUUGUUUCUGCUAUGUGGCAGAUUUCGGACAUGCUACGGAGUGUUCGCUUCCGUCUAUUAUUUGACGCGAAGGUCUCAAAGACCGUUAAGACCGUAUUGUUGUCCUCGGGGUGGUGCUCUAUGGUUUUUGGGAGGAGUAAAUCCUCACCACUUUUGGCCACCUACCGGAGUAUCCAGCAUGCUCUAAGGCUGUGUGUUGGUAUCGCAUCCGCUGUACUAUGAAUUUUGUAGGGUCCGUUGAGCCAUCCCUCCAGUACGCUUCCUUGCCCCGUAUAGGGCUUUUGCUUUUUGGUAGUUAACCCAGGUGUAUUGUGAUAGUGCACCCUUUUAUUUCGGACUAGGUUUGUAUUCAGGGCCGGAUUAUCCCAAAAUUUUAUUUCGGUUUUCCAGGCGCUUUCCAUCGCACAGUACUUUCGUACUAUGGACACCAAGUCGGCAAAGCGUGUAAUUUCGCGACGACUUAUGGCGUUGAGGAUUCCCUUGUCUGUGCAAUUAUUGCAGAAGAAUGAGAUUGUGUCUUCCUCGCGGCAGUCCUUUAUCCUGUUUUUGACCAGGAGGAAUCUGGCCCAAUAAUGGUGUACUGUUUCUUCGGGCUCUUGCCUAAUUUGGGAUAGAUCACGUAUGUUUGGGUGGGUGGGUGGAAUUGAAUCCGAAUCCUCACCCAAUCUGAGGCUCAAUGGCCAAGGAGUUUCCAAACUCGAAAGUUUGGAUUCUUGGAUGUUUUCCGGUAAAUCUAGCCCGCUGCCUGAUUCUGGGUUCAGGCUUUGAGUGACAUCCUCCCCUCCGCGGGUAUCCGGCUUGGAGGGAUCGGGAAUCCGGACGUAGCUAGUCCUUAAGAUGGAUGAAGGGUUGCCGCAUUGUUCUUCCAUCACUACAACGUGAUGGGUGACCUGGGGAGAGUUAAUUUCUCUCAGAUUGGGUUGAGGCCCAAUCUGAUUGUAGUCUGUAGCAACUCCCAGGGCGGCGAUGCGAUCCAAGAGCUCGUUCAGGGAAGAGAGCUCCAUUGGAUCCAACUGCUCGGCGAGUUCCAAGUUGACGUGAAGAUUGCUUUUGAUGACCCGAGAAGUCAUCAUCGGCGCGGCGGCCGAACAGGCGGUCAUAAGAAAACCACCUAGCCGGAGAGUUUGGCCGAUAGCCAGAGCUCCCUCAGCGAUAGUGCCGUCUUUAAAGAUGGGACGAGACAUCCUUCCUGGUGGAGACGGCAUAGCGGAACUCUCAAUGAAAGCACCAAUGUCGGUGUCAAAACCGGCGGAUCUCGGGUAGGGGGUCCCGAACUGUGCGUCUAGGCCAGAUGGUAACAGGAGGCAAGGGACACGAAGUUUUACCCAGGUUCGGGCCCUCUUGAUGGAGGUAAAACCCUACGUCCUGCUUGAUUAAUAUUGAUGAUAUGGGUGUUACAAGAGUAGAUCUACCACGAGAUCAGAGAGGCUAAACCCUAGAAGCUAGCCUACGGUAUGAUUGUAUGUUGUGAUUGUUGUCCUAUGGCCUAAAACCCUUCGGUUUAUAUAGACACCGGAGAGGGUUAGGGUUACACAAGGUCGGUUACAAAGGAGGAGAUAUCCAUAUACGUAUUUCCUAGCUUGUCUUCCAUGCAAAGUAGAGUCCCAUCCGGACACGAGACGAAGUCUUCAAUCUUGUAUCUUCAUAGUCUAUCAGUCCGACCAAUGGAGAUAGUCCGGCUGUCCGGAGACCCCCUAAUCCAGGACUCCCUCAAUGCCAUUGAGAAUAAUUAACCAUAAUAUUAUCUAGGAGUUUAGUAGCUUCUCCUAAAGUGAUUUCCAUAAAAGUGCCUCCCGCGGCCGAAUCUAAAAGAUUUCUAGAAGCAAAAUUCAAUCUGGCAUAAAAUUUUUGUAUAAUCAUCCACAUAUUCAAACCAUGAGUAGGGCAAUUACGUAUCAUUAAUUUCAUCCUAUCCCAAGAUUGUGCAACAUGUUCAUGAUCAAGUUGCUUAAAAUUCAUAAUAUCGUUUCUAAGGGAGAUGAUCUUAGCAGGAGGAAAAUACUUAGAGAUAAAAGCAUCUUUGCAUUUGUUCCAAGAAUCAAUACUAUUUUUAGGCAAAGACGAAAAUCAAGCUUUAGCACGAUCUCUAAACGAAAAAGGAAAUAGCUUCAAUUUAACAAUAUCAUUAUCCACAUAUUUCUUCUUUUGCAUAUCACACAAAUCAACAAAGCUAUUUAUAUGGGUAGCGGCAUCUUCACUAGGAAGGCCGGAAAACGGAUCUUUCAUGACAAGAUUCAGCAAGGCAGCAUUAAUUUCACAAGAUUCAGCAUCGGUAAGAGGAGCAAUCGGAGUGCUAAUAAAAUCAUUGUUGUUGGUAUUGGUAAAGUCACACAAUUUAGUAUUAUCUUGAGCCAUCGUUACAAGCAAGCAAUCCAACACACAAGCAAACAAAAAGCAAGCGGGCAAAAAGAGGCAAAUAGGAAAGAGAGGGAGGAUAGAGAGAGAGGGCGAAUAAAACGACAAGGAUGAAGUGGGGGAGAGGAAAACGAGAGGCAAAUGGAAAAUAAUGUAAUGUGGGAGAUAAGGAUUGUGAUGGGUACUUGGUAUGUUUGACUUUUGUGUAGACUCCCCGACAACGGUGCCAGAAAUUCUUCUUUCUACCGCUUGAGCACUGCGUUGGAUUUCCCUGAAGAGGAAAGGAUGAUGCAGCAAAGUAUCGUAAGUAUUUCCCUCAGUUUUUUAGAACCAAGGUAUCAAUCCAGUAGGAGGCUACGCGCGAGUCCCUCGUACCUGCACAAAGCAAAUAGCUCCUCGCAACCAAUGUGAUAAGGGGUUGUCAAUCGCUUCACGAUCACUUACGAGAGUGAGAUCUGAUAGAUAUGAUAAGAUAAGAUUUUUGGUAUUUUUAUGAUAAAGAUGCAAAGUAAAAUAAAAGCAAAGUAAAAAAGCAAAGGAAAUAACUAAGUAUUGGAAGAUUAAUAUGAUGAAGAUAGACCCGGGGGCCAUAGGUUUCACUAGUGGCUUCUCUCAAGAGCAUAAGUAUUCUACGGUGGGUGAACGAAUUACUGUUGAGCAAUUGACAGAAUUGAGCAUAGUUAUAAGAAUAUCUAGGUAUGAUCAUGUAUAUAGGCAUCACGUCCGAGACAAGUAGACCAACUCCUGCCUGCAUCUACUACUAUUAAUCCACUCAUCGACCGCUAUCCCGCAUGCAUCUAGAGUAUUAAGUUCAUGAAAAUAGAGUAACGCCUUAAGCAAGAUGACAAGAUGUAGAGGGAUAAACUCGUACAAUAUGAUGAAAACCCCAUCUUGUUAUCCUCGAUGGCAACAAUACAAUACAUGCCUUUCUGCCCCUACUGUCACUGGGAAAGGACGCCGCAAGAUUGAACCCAAAGCUAAGCACUUCUCCCAUUGCAAGAAAUAUCAAUCUAGUAGGCUAAACCAAACUGAUAAUUCGAAGAGACUUGCAAAGAUAACCAAUCAUACAUAAAAGAAUUCAGAGAAGAUUCAAAUAUUGUUCAUAGAUAGACUUGAUCAUAAACCCACAAUUCAUCGGUCUCAACAAACGCACCGCAAAAAGAAGAUUACAUCGAAUAGAUCUCCACAAGAGAGGGGGAGAAGAUUGUAUUGAGAUCCAAAAGGAGAGAAGAAGCCAUCUAGCUAAUAACUAUGGACCCGUAGGUCUGAGGUAAACUACUCACACUUCAUCGGAGGGGCUAUGGUGUUGAUGUAGAAGCCCUCCGUGAUGGAUACCCCCUCCGGCAGAGCUCUGGAACAGGCCCCAAGAUGGGAUCUCAUGGAUACAGAAAGUUGCGGCGGUGGAAUUAGGGUUUUGGCUCCGUAUCUGAACGUUUGGGGGUACGUAGGUAUAUAUAGGAGGAAGGAGUACGUCGGUGGAGCAACAGGGGGCCCACGAGGGUGGAGGGCGCGCCUGGGGGGUAGGCGCGCCCCCCUACCUCGUGGCCUCCUCCUUUGUUUCUUGAUGCCAGGUCCAAGUCUCCUGGAUCAUGUUCGGUGAGAAAAUCAUGUUCCCGAAGGUUUCAUUCCAUUUGGACUCCGUUUGAUAUUCCUUUUCUUCGAAACCCUAAAAUAGGCAAAAACAACAAUUCUGGGUUGGGCCUCCGGUUAGUAGGUUAGUCCCAAAAUUAAUAUAAAAGUGGAUAAUAAAGCCCAAUAAUGUCCAAAACAGUAGAUAAUAUAGCAUGGAGCAAUCAAAAAUCAUAGAUGCAUUGGAGACGUAUCAAUAAUCAAAAGCAUCAACGUUUUCCCCAUCAUUACAACUACCCUUUUCAAUGAUAACCUCCCCAGUUUCAGACAUGAUGGCAACAAACAACACUAAGAAUGAACACACAAGAGGCAAGCGGAAAGAGACGAACAAAAAAGGGGCGAAUAAAACAGCAAAGGUGAAGUGGGGGAGAGGAAAACGAGAGGCAAAUGGCAAAUAAUGUAAUGCGAGGGAUAAGAGUUUGUGAUGGGUACUUGGUAUGUCUUGACUUCAGCAUAGAUCUCCCCGGCAACGGCGCCAGAAAUCCUUCUUGCUACCUCUUGAGCAUGCGUUGGUUUUCCUUUGAAGAGGAAAGGGUGAUGCAGCAAAGUAGUGUAAGUAUUUCCCCCAGUUUUUGAGAACCAAGGUAUCAAUCCAGUAGGAGACUAUACACAAAUCGCCUAGUACCUGCACAAACAAUCAAGAACCUUGCAACCAACGCGAUAAAGGGUUGUCAAUCCCUUCACAACCACUUGCAAAAGUGAGAUCUGAUAAAGAUAAUAAGAUAAAUAUUUUUGGUAUUUUUGUUGUAUAGAUUGAAAAGUAAAGAUUGUAAAAUAAAUAGUAAACUAGAAUUAUAGAUCGGAAACUUAUAUGAUGUAAAGUAGACCCGGGGGCCAUAGGUUUCACUAGUGGCUUCUCUCAAGAUAGCAUAUAUUACGGUGGGUGAACAAAUUACUGAUGAGCAAUUGAUAGAAAAGCGCAUAGUUAUGAGAAUAUCUAGGCAUGAUCAUGAACAUAGGCAUCACGUCUGUGUCAAGUAGACUGAAACGAUUCUACAUCUACUACUAUUACUCCACACAUCGAUCGCUAUCCAGCAUGCAUCUAGAGUAUUAAGUUCAUAAGAACAGAGUAACGCAUUAGGCAAGAUGACAUGAUGUAGAGGGAUAAACUCAAGCAAUAUGAUAUAAACCCCAUCUUUUUAUCCUCGAUGGCAACAAUACAAUAUGUGUUGGUUCCCUUUCUGUCACUGGGAUCGAGCACCGCAAGAUUGAACCCAAAGCUAAGCACUUCUCCCAUUGCAAGAAAGAUCAAUCUAGUAGGCCAAACCAAACUGAUAAUUCGAAGAGACUUGAAAGAUAUUAAAUCAUGCAUAUAAGAAUUCAGAGAAGAAUCAAAUGUUGUUCAUAUAUAAUCUUGAUCAUAAACCCACAAUUCAUUGAAUCUCGACAAACACACCGCAAAAAGGAUUGCAUCAAAUAGAUCUCCAAGAACAUCGAGGAGAACUUUGUAUUGAGAAUGAAAGAGAGAGAAGAAGCCAUCUAUCUAGUAACUAUGGACCCGAAGGUCUGUGGUAAACUACUCACACAUCAUCGGAGAGGCUAUGGUGUUGAUGUACAAGCCCUCUGUGAUCGAAUCCCCCUCCAACAGAUUGCUGGAAAAGGCCCCAGAUGGGAUCUCACGGGUACAGAAGAUUGCGGCGGUGGAAAAGUGGUUUCGUGGCUCCCCUAAAUGUUUUCAGGGUAUAAGAAUAUAUAUAUAGGCGAAAGAAGUAGGUCGGUGGAGCUCUGUGGGGCCCACGAGGGUGGGGCGCGCCUCCCUACCUCGUGGCCGCCUCGUUGCUUCCUUGACCUCCACUCCAAGUCUCCUGAAUUGCGUUUGUUCAAAAAAAGAUCCUUGCGAAGGUUUCAUUCCGUUUGAUAUUCCUUUUCUGUGAAACACUGAAAUAGGCAAAAAAAAAGCAAAUGGCAUUGUGCCUCCGGUUAAUAGGUUAGUCCCCAAAAUAAUAUAAAAGUGCAUAUUAAAGCCCAUUAAUCAUCCAAAACAGAUAAUAUAAUAUCAUGGAACAAUAAAAAAUUAUAGAUACAUUGGAGACGUAUCAACACGUGGCAGCUUGACUUGGGCUACAAGUUAAGUUGACUCAUCUAGCUCUGGAUAAGAUUUGCUCUCAUUGUCUUCGCUUGAAGACAUAGGAUUUGGUUGAGCAUCACAUCAGUCACUCUGACUUUGUUCACUUGGACCCCACUUAACAGUACGGUGGUUCCUAUGACUCAACAAAGAAGAAAAGGAACUACGAAACAACUAUGUCUUCGCACUCCAUAGUCUUCACGUGAUGUCUUCUCAUGUCAUAGUCUUCAAUGUGAAUAUCUUCACAGACCACCAAUCUCUUCAAUGUCUUCACACAUUUUUAGGGGUUGUCUCUGGUAGGUAAACCGAAUCAAUGAGGGACUACUACAUGUGUUAUCCUUCUCACAAACACAUUAAUCCCUCAACCAAGUUUGUCGUCAAUACUCCAAAACCAACUAGGGGUGGCACUAGAUGCACUUACAAUCUCCCCCUUUUUGGUGAUUGAUGACAAACUGGUUGAAGUUUUCAACAGGGAUAAAAGUAUGUGAAAGUUAAGAAUUCAGGCAUUGUCUUCAUAAGUAGCAAAAGGCUCCCCCUGAAGAUGUGCAUAUAAGUAGUUUGCUUUUGAAUGGAAAUGAACAUGGCAGGUUUUACUUUGUGGAGAUCCUCUUCAACUUAUGAAGACAAUUCAUCAUGCAUAUACAGAUCUAACGAAGAUAAUGACAUGCAUAAUGAAAAAUGGACGUCUGCGGAAUGACUUAAUGCGGAAUUUAUCAUCGCAUCACAGAGUAGUAGAAAAAGUAGCAGACGACCAUCGAUCACAGAUGCGGAAUGUAUUCAUCUUCGACUGCAACUAUUGUUGCGAGAGUCGUCGAUGAAGAAGAUGACGCCACUUCACCAACCAUGGCUUCACUCCAUCUCGACACUGCACCAGGCCCCUCUGCACCACCGAACUCCAGCGUUGACCCUGCACCUACAUCUACUCCUGAUGGGGACAAGUAGAUACUCUAUGUCUUCAAACCUUUUUGGUCAUUACUGACAAAAGGGGGAGAAGCAUAUGAGUUGAUAGUCUUCAAGCGGGUCCUUAUGGGUGGUUGCACUAUUUUUGCUAAGUGUUACAACCCAAAGAACCAAAUGUAUCAAAAGACGAGAGUUGUAAACACUUGGCAAAAAUAGUGCAACCACCCAUAAGGACCCGCUUGAAGACAAUCAACUCAUAUGCUUCUCCCCCUUUUGUCAGUAAUGACCAAAAAGGUUUGAAGACAUGUAGUAUCUACUUGUCCCCAUCAGGAGUAGAUGUAGGUGCAGGGUCGACGCUGGAGUUCGGUGGUGCAGAGGGGCCUGGUGCAGUGUCGAGAUGUAGUGAAGCCAUGGUUGGAGAAGUGGCGUCGUCUUCUUCAUCGACGACUCUCGCAACAACAGUUGCAGCCGAAGAUGAAUACUCAGAAUCUUCUAUUGAGGGAGUGCGACGCCAGCUUGCAUUGCGUGGAGGUCUGGAAUCAAAUUUGAAGCCCUUAGUGAAGCCAUCUUUGCGAAGAUCUUCUUCAGGGCAUAGUAGUGUGAGACUCUUCCAAGACCGCCGACAGACUUCAUGGGCUACGAAUGAGUUCUUGGUGGCCAAGUUUCAAAUGUGAUUGACAUCUACCAAGAUACUCUGCAUCUGAUGCUUGAUCCAGUCAUGAUGCAUAUCCUGCUUCUGAUGUAAGGCCACAAGAAACUCUCGGUCAUUGAGUACACGAGAACGCUUCCGAGGCCUUUGAGCAAUUGUACUGUCAGUGGCUUCGGUCUUUGUACGAUGAGGCACACGUAUAUUGCCAGCCAGAGGAUAUGUAGGAGUUGCAGCAUUGGGGACAUGAAUUCCUUCUAUUGGUUGCGUGAAGCUUUGAUGAUCAACAUUAUGAAGAUAUAGAGGCUCCUUGGCAGGCUCUGGGUAGAUGGCUUCGACGGACAGAUCAACCUCAGGUACAAAGACAAGAUGGUUGUGCGCUGAGGGUUGAUAGUCAACACAAGAGUGGAGCUUGAUCAGGCGCAUCACCCAUGGAGCAUAAAACUUCAGGCCAAACAGAUCAAUCCCAGAUGCAGCAAGUUGUUUGAUGAAGAAAUACUAGGAGUUGAAUCUGAUGCCAUUGAUGAUGUAAAACACCAAAGUCUUCAUGGCUCCUUCAAGUUUGGCUUCAGCAGUAUAUCCCUUGAUUGGCCAUAGAGUAUGCCUCAUAACAUGAUAGACUGUCCGUGGCAAGUACUCGAGGUCUUUGACAAAGAACUCUUUGGGGUAGUCAGCAUCUUGGGGCAGUGGCUUCAUCAUGCUGAGCAUCUCACUCAUAUUGGGUUCAGGCCUCUGGAAGAUGCUCUGCAGUUCAUCACGAUGACGUUGACAACCAGGCUCAUAGAACUCGCCUGGAGUGGGCCGGGAAGUAAGCUCAAUGAUGUCUUGAGAUUUGGCUUCAUGAUGUACAUCUCCUAACAUCCACUCAAGGACCCAUGUCUUCAGAUCCCUGUUGUAGCCAUGAAUGUGAAGAGUGGCAUAGAAUUGUAGUAGCAGUUCUUCAUUCCAGUGCUCCUUGUCCAUAACGAAUGGCAGAAGACCAACUUCCCUGAAACAGUCAAGGGCUUCUUCAAGACAGGGCAACCCUGCAAUGGCUUCACAAUCAAGGCGCAUGUGUGGAAAGAUUCGCCCCUGAUUGUAUAGAAUGCAGGAGUAGUAGCUGCGUUGCUGUUAGCUCCAGAAUCGAUCGAGUGAGAUAUUUGGCUUCGAGUACGGAUUCUUGGCGCUAUCGAACAAGGUAUUGUGUGCCCUGAAGCUGUUCACGUUGAAUGAUCCUGGGAUGUGGCAGCACCUAGAAGUCUUGGUAGCCUGGGCUUUGGCUUCUGAACUUGUGGCCUCUGCUCCACAUGAUAGUCAUAUUGAGGUCCGGGAGCAGUCAGAGACACCAUGAUGGGCCAUCGAACUGUGACAAGUUCACCAUGAUUAUGGGCUUGUUCAAUGGUGUGAGGCCUUGGAUGUGGAACAGUGGCCUCGGGUUGUACUUGAGCUUUAGGCACCACAUUAGCUUUAGGUUCCACAUUGGCUUCAGGCGCCACAUUGUCUUCAUGACAGUGUCAUUGGGUUCAACAUCAUUGUUUGUGGCAGCCUCAGUAGUUUCAACCUCCGUCUGUUCAAUAACAGGAGGGUCGGGCACAGACUCAUUCUCCUCGAGAAUGACUUAGUUAGUAGCAGGGGGUGUAGCAACUCUUUCUUCUUCUCUUGUUUCUUCAUUUUCUUCAUCGGCUAAUGCAGCCGGAAUGUCUUUAGCAGCAGCUUCAGACUCGGAGACAUUCACAGUUUGGGUGGCUUCAGGAAACACUUGACGUGCUACUGAGCUUUGUUGCACUUCCCCUUCUGGAAUGCUCGACAUGGUGACUUGUGGCCUGGGGCCUUUGCGAAGGCUGUGAAAAGAAGGUGACGCCUAUGGUGACAGAGAGGUCUGUACCAUGUAGCUAUCAUCGUCAAGCACCGGAGUGGUGACUUGAGGUGUUGGAGUUCUAGGUGUGUCUUCAUGAAUGCGGGUGUCUUGUUGAGGGCGAUCGGGCCAUGAAUCAUCCUGAGCAAUUGGCAUCAAGGGACGACCAAUGCUGCUGAGUUCGCUGUUCGUAAGAACAUGCGAUGAUACCACUUGAUGCUCAAGUUGAGGAAGGACUUCAUCAUCUUCUACAUUGUCUUCACGACCAAUGUCUUCAGCUGUGGUGGGGUCAACAGCUGGAACUUCUUCAUUCUCAAGAGCCUCUGUGAAAGCAGGCUCGUGGAUCACUAGGUGACGUUCUUGGCUCGUGAAGGCUGGACGGGCAAUAGAAAUGGGUUCAACCAUAAGGGGCUCACUGGCUGCAGCACGCUCUUUCUUUGAAGACUUUGUCUUCAAUUUCUUCUUGGAAGGUGCAUCAUCAAAGGUGUUCUUGUGCUUGUGCUUCCUGGCAUCAGCUUCAGCUGCCCUUGUCUUUUUCAGAGUCUGCGUCAUCAGCAGAGUGCUCCACCAUAGCCCCAUGUAUAGCUAUAUGAGAGAGAAGGCCGUCGAAGUUGUAGAAGGGGCCGAUGACAUUUGGAUUGGCAUCGCGUGUGCCAUCAGCCCUUGGAGCAGAUGGGCCAGGGUUGAAGUUGAGGCCAAACUCCUUGUUUUUGACAGCGGACUCCUUAGCAAACUGAUAGUUGCGUUUGAAAAGAUUGUCUUUGCGACACCCUAUCAUUGAUGAUGGGUCGGCAUUCUCUGGCUUCGGUCCUCGGACCAUGCAUGGGUAGAAGCCUUGAGCAAUAGCUUCAGACUUGGACUUGGGCUGCAGAUUUCUGUAUAGAAUAUCUCCCCAAGGGCCCUUGAUGGCAUUCUUUUCAGCAUAUUCAGCAGUCAUAAAUCUAUACAUGAACCAUUCUUCCACCCAAUAUCUUCGAAUCCAUUGGAUUCGGGUAUUGCGCUGGUUGUAGCUUUCCUUAGGAUCUAACUUGUAUAGCUCAAACAGAUCUAGAGGUAAAUCCUUAGCUAUAUUUCCACGGUGCUGCCUACCGCCCUUUCUAGGUGAUUUCUCUAUUGCCAUUGUAUUCAGAUUGAAGGGCUUCAAGGUAUUGAAUGGCUUCCUUUUGCUGGUCAGACAGGAACUGGCUUCAGGUGAGUGAAUAUGACGUUGUAAGAACUCUGCAAAUGAAUGCAGACUAUGAGAACUAAGGGAUUCUCCCGCGGACAUGUAUGUGUGACGACAUUAGAGAUGCGAGGGAAGGGGAAGAGGUCAUAUGCAUUCUUAGAAGAUUUUGAAGAUAAAUCAGUUUGAAGACAUUGACCUCAUAGCAUGAAGACAUUCACUUAUUUGAAGAGAGUCGGUUCCAGAUUUGUACGAAUCCAUGAAUAAGUACAAGUGAGGAAUCUAACUAGUUGUGAAGCAUAAGUGAAUAUACUUGGCAUGAUAUGAGAUGCAGAUAAGGAUGGAUCCAUAUUUAGAAGUGAAGAAAAACCACUUUUGGUUGAAGUGGAUGGAUCUGACGGAUCUAAAAGGCAGUAAAAAGUAAGAUUUAAUUACCGCGGACGAACUGCUAGACGAGGUAGAGUUGGAGGCCGAUCAGUUCAAUCUUCCGUGCCCUAACUUGGCGACGAAAGAUACCUACAGCGACGACGAAGAGGACGAGGUCCGUGGCCGGCGUGAGGACGGCGUCUAGGAAGUUGCGGCAGUCAAGCGUUUCGUCUCCGGCGUCGUCGUGAGCUAGUGGAGGAGCUAGGGUUUGUGCGAGGUGGAGAGGUGGAAGAAGAGAUAAUGACCGCGAUGAGUUGUGUAUUUAUAAGGAUAGGGAUGACACAGCGUAAUUACACGGGUGCCCCUGGCGGUUCACAUCUGAAGGACACGUGGCUUGCAUGCAACUCAUUGGAGGUUGUUCCAUGUUCCCACGCACUCCUGGAUUGUCGGGUGGUCGUUCCGGCUUCUCCGGUUUUGGGGCAUAAAGGAUAUGGCAUUAAAACAUAUUUAAAUGAUUGUCUCUUUGUCUUCUGCUGAUAAGGACUCAAAGAAGACAAUCAACAGGUUUCAAUAGAAUGCAUAUGAUUUGGAUAGAUAGAAUUUGAGGAAGAAGCAUAGAAGAGGAUUAGGGUCCGAUCACAUUCAAUUAGAUCAAGAAAAGAUUCAAGCAUGAAGACAUAGCUAUAAGUGAAUGCUAUAGAGGACAUAACACGAAUAUAUAUCGGACCAACUUAACAUUGCGAAAAUAAACCUUGAAGUCAAAUCAAUGUUGAAGACAAACCAAAUGCGAAGACUAUACGAUUAUGAUACCACAUGAAACACUUCAAAAGGAUUUUGGUGGUGGCGUUACCCACCGUAUAGGAAGUAUUUGACCCAGACAUGGCGCACAAUUAUCGUGGUGCUCCGAAGUCAAAUUCCGCUUUAAUGUAUUCACACUUAGAGUGUAUGUCUUCAUUGAUUGAAGAUAUACGUUACUUUGUGUGUUGCACAUCUAAGUCAUCAACAUGAAUAAGCAUUAGGAUGUGUGUCCAAUUACAGGACAUUUGAGGAUUCUAAUAUAUUUAGCUCACACCGCAACUUGCAAAACCUUUUAUCAUCCAAGGGCUUUGUGAAGAUAUCUGCCAAUUGCUCUUCAGUGUUGACGUGAAUGGUAUCAAUAUAUUCCUUCAUGACAUGAUCUCUGAGAAAAUGAUGACGGGUCUGAAUGUGCUUUGUCUUCGAGUACUGAACUGGGUUAUUGGCAAUCUUGAUGGCGCUUUCAUUGUCGCAGUAGAGUGGCACAUGCUUCAGGUGGAUACCAUAGUCCUUGAGAGUUUGCUUCAUCCAUAGAAGCUGAGCGCAGCAAGAUCCAGCAGCAAUGUAUUCAGAUUCACCAGUGGAGAGAGAUACAUAGUUCUGCUUCUUUGAAGACCAACAGACAAGAGAUCGUCCAAGAAAGUGACAUGUUCCUGAUGUGGACUUGCGAUCAACCUUGUCACCAGCAUAAUUAGCAUCUGAGAAUCCAACUAGAUCAAACUCUGAGCCCUUUGGAUACCAUAAUCCUAGUGUUGGGGUGUAAGCCAAAUAUCGAAGAAUUCGCUUCACAGCUAAAUGAUGCGAUUCCUUUGGUGCCGCUUGGAAUCGGGCACACAUGCAAACGCUAAGCAUUAUAUCUAGCCUAGAUGCACAUAAAUAGAGUAAAGAACCAAUCAUGGAGCAGUAUACCUUUUGAUCGAACUCUUUACCAUUGUCGUCGGGACCAAAUUGACCUUUGGUUGGCAUUGGCGUCGUGUACCCUUUACAGUCUUGCAUUCCAAACUUCUUCAGACAAUCUUUGAGGUAUUUCUCUUGUGAUAUGAAGAUGUUGUUGCUCUGCUGACGAAUUUGAAGACCGAGGAAGAAUUUCAGCUCACCCAUCAUGGACAUCUAAUAGUGCUAUUGCAUCAUGUGUCCAAACUCAUCACUGUAUCGCUUGUCAGUGCAGCCGAAGAUAAUGUCAUCUACAUAGAUUUGGCAGACAAACAAUUCUCCAUCAUAUGUCUUCGUGAAGAGUGUGGGAUCCAGGGAACCAGGUUUGAAGCCAUUGCUCUUUAGGAAGUCUUUGAGUGUGUCAUUGCUACCUCUUGAGCACUGCAUUGGUUUUUCCCCGAAGAGGAAGGGAUGAUGCAGCAGAGUAGCAUAAAUAUUUCCCUUGGUUUUUGAGAACCAAGGUAUCAAUCCAGUAGGAGGCUACGCGCGAGUCCCUCGUACCUACACAAAACAAAAUAAGGGGGUGUCAAUCCCUACACGGCCACUUACGAGAGUGAGAUCUGAUAGAUAUGAUAGGAUAAUAUUUUUGGUAUUUUUAUGAUAAAGGUGCAAGGUAAAAUAAAAGCAAAGUAAAUAGCAAACUAUUGGAAGAUUAAUAUGAUGAAGAUAGACCCGGGGGCCAUAGGUUUCACUAGUGGCUUCUGUCAAGAGCAUAGGUAUUCUACGGUGGGUGAACGAAUUACUGUUGAGCAAUUGACAGAAUUGAGCAUAGUUAUGAGAAUAUCUAGACAUGAUCAUGUAUAUAGGCAUCACGUCCGAGACAAGUAGACCGACUCCUGCCUGCAUCUACUACUAUGACUCCACUCAUCAACCGCUAUCAAGCAUGCAUCUAGAGUAUUAAGUUAAUGAAAAGAAAGUAACGUCUUAAGCAAGAUGACAUGAUGUAGAGGGAUAAACUCAUGCAAUAUGAUGAAAACCCCAUCUUGUUAUCCUCGAUGGCAACAAUACAAUACGUGCCUUGCUGCCCCUACUGUAACUGGGACAGGACGCCACAAGAUUGAACCCAAAGCUAAGCACUUCUCCCAUUGCAAGAAAGAUCAAUCUAGUAGGCCAAACCAAACUGAUAAUUCAAAGAGACUUGCAAAUAUAACCAAUCAUACAUAAAAGAAUUCAGAGAAGAUUCAAAUAUUGUUCACAGAUAGACUUGAUCAUAAACCCACAAUUCAUCGUUCUCAACAAACACACCGCAAAAAGAAGAUUGCAUCGAAUAGAUCUCCACAAGAGAGGGGGAGAACAUUGUAUUGAGAUCCAAAAAGAGAGAAGAAGCCAUCUAGCUAAUAACUAUGGACCCGUAGGUCUGAGGUAAACUACUCACACUUCAUCGGAGGGGCUAUGGUGAUGAUGUAGAAGCCCUCUGUGAUCGAUGCCCCCUCCGGGGGAGCUCCAGAACAGGCCCCAAGAUGGGAUCUCAUGGAUACAAAAAGUUGCGGCGGUGGAAUUAGGGUUUUGGCUCCGUAUCUGAUCGUUUGGGGGUACAUAGGUAUAUAUAGGAGGAAGGAGUACAUCGAUGGAGCAACAGGGGGGCCACGAGGGUGGAGGGCGCUCCUGGGGGGUAGGCGCGCCCCCUACCUCAUGGCCUCCUCUUUUGUUUCUUGAUGUAGGGUCCAAGUCCUUUGGAUCAUGUUCGGUGAGAAAAUCACGUUCCCGAAGGUUUCAUUCCGUUUGGACUCCGUUUGAUAUUCCUUUUCUUUGAAACCCUAAAAUAGGCAAAAAAAUAGCAAUUCUAGGUUGGGCCUCAGGUUAGUAGGUUAGUCCCAAAAAUAAUAUAAAAGUGGAUAAUAAAGCCCAAUAAUGUCCAAAAUAGUAGAUAAUAUAGCAUGGAGCAAUCAAAAAUUAUAGAUAUGUUGGAGAUGUAUCAGUCAUACCAAGCACGAGGGGCUUGUUUGAGGCCAUACAGUGCCUUCUUGAGCUUGUAUACCAUGUUAGGAUGUUUUGGGUCUUCAAAGCCAGGUGGUUUUGCAACAUACACUUCUUCUUCAAUCUUGCCAUUGAGAAAAGCACUCUUCACAUCCAUUUGGUACAGGAGGAUGUUUUGAUGGUUGGCAUAGGCUAGAAGUAUGCGAAUGGCUUCAAGCCUAGCCACCAGAGCAAAUGUUUCAUCAAAGUCAAUCCCUUCAACUUGAGUGUAUCCUUGAGCAAUGAGACAAGCCUUGUUUCUGACAACUUGACCAUGCUCAUCUUCUUUGUUGCAAUAGAUCCAUUUGGUGCCAAUGAUGUUAUGCUUCCGAGGGUCAGGAUGCUUAACCAAAAUUCCCACACAUUGUUCAGCUUGAACUGUUGAAGCUCUUCUUGCAUCGCUUGAAUCCAUCCAGGUUCCAUGAAGGCUUCAACAACUUUAUUGGGUUCAGAUAUAGAUACAAAUGCAAAGUGCCCAUAGAAAUUUGCUAGUUGCGUUGCUCUUGAAUGAGUGAGUGGACCAGGUGCAUUGAUGCUAUCAAUUAUCUUUUCAAUCUGCACUUCAUUUGCAACACGAGGAUGAACUAGACGAAGACCUUGCUCUUGGUGAUCAUUGUCUUCAUCAUCAGUAUUGACUUCGGGCUGAGCAGUGUCUUCGGGUUGAUUAGGUGCAUAAAUGACGAGUUCUUCUUCAGCCCGAGCCUCUGAAGGUAUGAUUUCUCUAGUACCCAUAAGCUUGAUGGAUUCACUUGGUGAGACUUCAUCUAGCACAUUUGGCAGGUGCUCUCUUUGCGAGCCGUUAGUUUCAUCGAAACGCACAUCCAUAGUUUCAACCACUUUAUAGUGAAAGAGGUUGAAGACUCUGUAGGAGUGCGAAUCCUUUCCGUAACCAAGCAUAAAACCUUCAUGUGCUUUUGGUGCAAAUUUGGAAGUGUGAUGUGGAUCCUUGAUCCAGCACCUAGCACCAAAUACUCUGAAGUAAUUGACGUUUGGCUUCUUACCAGUUAGUAGCUCAUAUGAUGUCUUCUUUAGAAGCUUGUGAAGAUAAACACGGUUGAUGACGUGUCAUGCAGUAUCAAUGGCUUCAGGCCAGAACUUCCUUGGAGUCUUGUACUCAUCAAGCAUCGUUCGAGCCAUCUCAAUGAGGCUUUUGUUCAUGCGCUCCAUGAUGCCAUUCUGCUGAGGUGUGUAUGGAGCUGAGAACUCAUGAGUGAUGCCCAAUGUAUCAAGAUAAGUGUCGAGGCCGGUGUUCUUGAACUCUGUGCCAUUGUCACUUCUGAUGUGCUUGAUCUUGAUUCCAUAGUUCGUCAUGGCAUGAUUGGCGAAUCGUCUAAAGACAUCCUGCACUUCAUUCUUGUAGAGGAUUAUAUGCCCCCAUGUAUAUCUUGAGUAAUCAUCAACAAUGACGAAGCCAUAGAGGCAAGCAGUGGUAGUAAGAGUAGAGUAGUGAGUAGGGCCAAAUAAGUCCAUGUGAAGCAGCUCGAAGGGAUGAUAUGUCGUCAUGACUGUCUUCGAGGGAUGCUUGGCCCUUGUCAUCUUUCUAGCUUCGCAGGCAACACACAGAUGAUCCUUCUUGAACUUGACGCCCUCGAUGCCUACAACAUGUUUCUUCUUCACGAGUGUGUACAAGUUCCGCAUGCCAGCAUGCCCUAGCCUCUGAUGCCAGAGCCAGCACUCUGAAGCUUUUGCUAGAAGACAUACGGCCAACUGUGGUCCCGCUGAGAAAUCUACCAUGUACAAAUCAUCCUUUUGAUACCAUUCAAAGACUAGAGAUUUGUCAGAUUCUAUAAGCACAAGGUAACGAUAUUUUCCAAACAUCACAAUCAUGUUCAGAUCACAGAGCAUUGAGACAGACAUUAAGUUGAAAUUAAGGGAUUCAACAAGCAUCACUUUAUCCAUGUGCUGAUCCUUUGAGAUUGCGACUCUACCUAGACCCAAUACCUUGCUUUUACCAGUGUCAACAAAUGUGAUGUGACUUUUGUCAGAUGGACAUAAGGUGAGUCCAUGAGAAGACUUCGAUCACCAGUCAUGUGGUUAGUGCAUCCACUAUCCAUAAUCCACUCAGAAGCCUUUGGUAUCGUACGCUACAGUGCAGUUAGGGGGAUAGGCUUCACUAAGGGAAAUGUGAAGCAUAAACAUUUGAAGAACAAGAAGAUUAUCAAAGUUCAGAUCCUGGUUAGGGCAGAUAGGAUGAUUGUCAAGGAAUCCAGGAACAAAAUACAUAGUAAGACCAUUUGGGCAUUUUAUCUUGCGCCCCACAAGAUGUUUUAGGUCCCCAGCAUAAGCAUCAGACGACUUUGAUUUUUGGCUGGAGACCUUUCCCUUCAAAAGAGAGUUAAUUUUUCUUAACCACCCACAUCUUCAGGGGUGGCUUAGAAGCAAUGAGUCUAAGUGCAACAUCUGAGAACUUUGUCUUUGGAGCCCUAGCAAAUAGCCUUGCAUGAGGUGAAUAAUACUCAUAAGAAUAAGCAGAAUAGUUCUUGGUCUUAUGAACAUAGCGGUUUGACAAAACACGCUCAUAUUCAUAAGUCUGAGUAUGGUUUUCCUGCAAAACAUUGGUGUUAGGGUGACUCUGGUGAGUCCUCUGUUUGUAUGAAGCCUUGGGAUCAUAUGAAGCCUUUGGUCUGGGGUUUGUCUUCUUCCCAGGUGGUGUCAUGGUGACAUUCACCUGAAGAUUCUCAACACAACUCUUGGGCACCCAGAUCUUCUUCAAAGGUGGCCCAUUCCUAUAGUUAUUACCAAUAUACCUGGCAAACACUUCCCCAUUCUGAUUCUUAAACAGUUUAUAGUUUGCAUCAAAGGAUUCAUCAAUGAUAAUAGGGUUAGCACAAGUGAAGCCAGAUAAGGUAGAUGGAUCCAUUGAAGGUCCCUUUGCAGCAACCCAUGUGGUUUUGGGGUACUUCUUAGGCUUCCAGUAGGAACCAUCAACAUUCAUUUUCCUCUCGAACCCAACACCCUCUUUCCUAGGGUUUUGGUUCAGAAUCUGUUUCUUGAGGACAUCGCACAGUGUUUGAUGCCCUUUGAGGCUUUUGUACAUCCAUGUUUCAAGCAAUGUCUUCAACCUGGCAUUCUCAUCAGCAAUAGUAGUGGUAUCCUCAAAAGAGGGGUUAGUUUCCACAUCAGCAGUUGAAGACAUAGCAACAGUAGUAGUAGUAGAACAUCCAGCAACAGAAGUAGCAUUAUCACGCUCAAGACAUUUUAAACAUGGUGGCUCAAAGUCGUCCUGAGCGGAACUGAUUUGCUGAGCACGGAGUGACGCAUUCUCCUUUUGAAGAUCUUCAUGAGCCGAUCUCAUGUUCUCAAGCUCUUGCUUCCUUUGAAGAUAAUCGUAGGAGAGCUUUUCAUGAGUAAUUGAGAGCGUUUCAUGACAACUUUCAAAUUCUUCAUACUUAACAUGAAGAUUUUUAGUGUCUUCAAUUAAGGACUGAGUUCAAGUCAUUUCCGCGUCCAACAGGUCUUCGCUUUUGUCUAGCAACUUUUGAAUAUGUUCCAUAGCAUUUUGUUGUUCUGUUGCAAUUUUAGCAAGUGUUUUGUAGCUAGGUUUAGAUUCACAUUCAGAGUCAUCUUCACUUGAAGUUUGAAAGUAAGCAUCGUGUGAGUUUACCUUGGCACCACGUGCCAUGAAGCAGUAGGUGGGAGCAGAGUCAUCCUCAUCAUUAGCAUCAGUGUUGGUGACAAAGCCAUUGUCUUCAGUGUUGAAGAUGGACUUGGCGACAAACACUGAAGCUAGAGCCAAGCUUGCCACGCCUGAAUCAGAUUCCUCUUCAGACUCCACCUCUGCCUCCUCAUAUGCAGACUCCUCCUCUGAAUCCAUCUCCUUGCCAACAAAUGCACAAGCCUUUCUGGAUGAGCUCCUCCUGUGUGAUGAAGACUUCUAUGAAGACUUGGAAGAAGACUUCGAGGAUUUCUUCUUCUUCUUGUCAUCAGAAUCAUAUUCCUUGCUCUUCUUCUUCUUCUUCUUCUUAGUCCCAUUAUCCCACUGAGGACACUCAGAGAUGUAGUGACCAGGUUUCUUGCAUUUGUGGCAUGUUCUCUUCUUGUAGUCACGUGAGGAAGCUUCAUCAUUUCUUAAGUUGGAUCUUGAGGACUUUCUAAAGUCUUUCUUCGUAGUGAACCUCUGGACUUCUUCACAAGCAUAGCAAGCUCCUUUCCAAUGUCUUCAGGAUCCUCAGAACUGUAGUUAGAUUCUUCUUCAGAUGAGGAAACAACUGAUACGUCUCCGUCGUGUCUAUAAUUUUUUAUUGUUCCAUGCCAAUAUUCUACAACUUUCAUAUACUUUUGGCAACUUUUUAUACUAUUUUUGGGACUAACAUAUUGAUCCAGUGCCCAGUGCCAGUUCCUGUUUGUUGCAUGUUUUUUGUUUCGCAGAAUAUCCAUAUCAAACGGAGUCCAAACGGGAUAAAAACUGACAGAGAUUUUUUUGGAAUAUAUAUCAUUUUUGGGAAGAAAAAUCCACGCGAGACGGUGCCCGAGGUGGCCAGAGGCAGGGGGCGCGCCUGCCCCCCUGGGCGCGCCCCUGACCCUCGUGGGCCACCCGUAAGGUGGUUGAUGCCCUUCUUUCGCCGCAAGAAAGCUAAUAUCCGGAUAGAGAUCGUGUUAAAAUUUCAGCCCAAUCGGAGUUACGGAUCUCCGGGAAUAUAAGAAACGGUGAAAGGGAAGAAUCUGAGAACGCAGAAACAGAGAGAGACAGAGAGACAGAUCCAAUCUCGGAGGGGCUCUCGCCCCUCUCGUGCCAUGGAGGCCAUGGACCAGAGGGGAAACCCUUCUCCCAUCUAGGGAGGAGGUCAAGGAAGAAGAAGGAGGAGGGGGGCUCUCUCCCCCUCGCUUCCGGUGGCACCGGAGUGCCACCGGGGGCCAUCAUCAUCACCGCGAUCUACACCAACACCUCCGCCAUCUUCACCAACAUCUCUAUCACCUUCCCCCCUCUAUCUAUAGCGGUCCACUCUCCCGCAACCCGCUGUACCCUCUACUUGAACAUGGUGCUUUAUGCUUCAUAUUAUUAUCCAAUAAUGUGUUGCCAUCCUAUGAUGUCUGAGUAGAUUUUCGUUGUCCUAUCGAUGGUUGAUGAAUUGCUAUGAUUGAUUUAAUUUGCUUAUGGUUAUGUUGCUGUCCUUUGGUGCCCAUCAUAUGAUUGCGCGCGUGGAUCACACCCUAGGGUUAGUUGUAUGUUGAUAGGACUAUGUAUUGGAGGGCAAGAGUGACAGAAGCUUCAACCUAGCAUAGAAAUUGAUGCAUACAGGAUUGAAGGUGGACCAAUAUACCUUAAUGCUAUGGUUGGGUUUUACCUUAAUGAACAUUAGUAGUUGCGGAUGCUUGCUAAUAGUUCCAAUCAUAAGUGCAUAGAAUUCCAAGUCAAGGAUGACAUGCUAGCAGUGGCCUCUCCCACAUAAUACUUGCUAUCGGUCUAGCAAAGUAGUCAAUUGCUUAGGGGCAAUUUUGCAACUCCUACCACCACUUUUCCACACUUGCUAUAUUUACUUUAUUGUGUCUUUACUUAUACAGCCCCUACUUUUUAUUUAUGUAAUCUUUAUUAUCUUGCAAAUAUAUCCAACAACACCUACAAAGUACUUCUAGUUUCAUACUUGUUCUAGGUAAAGCGAACGUCAAGCAUGCGUAGAGUUGUAUCGGUGGUCGAUAGAACUUGAGGGAAUAUUUGUUCUACCUUUAGCUCCUCCUUGGGUUCGACACUCUAACUUAUCUAAAACUGUUGUGAUCCCCUAUACUUGUGGGUUAUCAAGACCUUUUUCUGGCGCCAUUGCCGGGGAGCAAUAGCGUGGGGUGAAUAUUCUUGUGUGUGCUUGUUUGCUUUAUCACUAAGUAAUUUUUAUUUUCUGUUCUUAGUUGUUUUCUAUCUUUAGUUAUGGGUAGGAAACGCAAAAUACCAAAAAAAACUAGUUGUACCUACUAAACCAAUGGUUGAAGAACCACUCAAAAUCUAUCACACUGUUGAAGCUUAUUACUUGGAUCAUCUUUGAUCCCUAUGUGCUCGUGCUGAAACCCCAACUAGCUUAGUUGAGGGCAAAUCUUUAGAUGAGCAUGCUUGUUUUGUGCGACACCGGAUAUCUGAAAAAGGGAAAAUUUUACUGGGUCAAAUUCAUCAUUUGCAAUGCUAUGCUUGGAAUUUAUGUGAAAUAUAUGAUUUUACUUGUUUUUCUGAAAACCCUAAGAAACACCUUCCCUAUCAAUGUGAGUUUAGUGAUAAUGGAAUCGUAUCUUCGUAUGCUAAAGGUGUUUAUAGUUACUAUGAUGUUCAACAAAUUGAAGAACUUCUUGCUUUUAAGGGUGCUUAUGAAAUUGCUUCUUUGAUUGAAACGUAUGAUGCUACUCUUUACAAAUCUGAAAAUUUUGACAUACUUAAAUAUUGCUAUGAUAAUUAUGCUUCUAGUGCCUAUGUUGAACCAUAUAUUGAGGACUACUCUGUUGUCCAAGAAGAGACUAAUAUUUUGCAUGAGUCUAUGGAAGAAGAAAUUGAUGAAACUGUGAGCUCAUUGGAUGAAAAAGAUGAGGAAGAGAGCAAAGAACAAAAGGAGGAAGAGCGGAUUAGCUACCCGUGCCCACCUUCUAAUGAGAGUAACUCUUCAACUCAUACAUUGUUUAAUUACCCUUCAUGCUUACCGGAGGAUGAUUGCUAUGAUGAUUGUUAUGAUCCCGUUGAUUCUUUUGAAAUAUUCCUUUUUGAUGAUGCUUGCUAUGCUUGUGGCUAAGAUGCCAAUAUGAAUUAUGCUUAUGGAGAUGAACUUGCUAUAGUUCCUUAUGUUAAACAUGAAAUUGUUGCUCUUGCACCCACACAUGAUAGUCCUAUUAUCUUUUUGAAUUCUCCAAACUACACUGUAUCGGAGAAGUUUGCUCUUAUUAAGGAUUAUAUCGAUGGGUUGCCUUUUACCGUUGCACAUGAUGAUUUUGAUGAAUAUAAUAUGCAUGUGCUUGCUGAUCCUACUUGCAAUUAUUAUGAGAGAGGAACUAUAUCUCCACCUCUCUAUGUUUCCAAUAUGAUAAAAUUGCAAGAAACUGUUUAUACUAUGCAUGGCCUUUACUUUGUGUGCAUGAAUUGUUCUUUUAUGACAUGCUGAUGCAUAGGAAGAGAGUUAUACUUCGUUAUUGCAUGAAUAUGUUACUUUGUGCUCACUACUAAAUUAUAAAUCAUUGUUAAUUAAAAUUGGCUUUGAUAUACCUUGGGAUCCGGGUGGAUUCAUUACUUGAGCACUAUAUGCCUAGCUUAAUGGCUUUAAAGAAAGCGCUGCCAGGGAGACAACCCGGAAGUUUUAGGGAGUCAUUUAUUUCUGUUGAGUGCUUUCAUAUAGUUUAAAAACAACAAAAAUAAAGAGGGGAACCCAAAACUUUUUCAAAAAGGAAAGCGAAAGUGAGAAAGACAAGCAUUGUUGAAGUGGGAGCUAGCCUUGAACUUUGUUCAUGCUCACGGAAACUUUGUGAAUCUUGAUUACAGAAACUUUUCAAUAAAAAUAAUUAUCCCCUUGUACAAUUCCAUUGUAUUAUAAAAAUAAUGUGCCAAGGUUUGCCUUUAGGAUGUUUACAUUUGCUUGAUGGUUUGUACGGUGCAGGACAGAAACUUUGGCUGUAGUGCGCGAUUUUACAUUUUUAGCUGGAACGUCAAAUGGUUCUGAUUAUUUUUGCAAUGUCUUCCUAUAAUUUUUUUUCCUAAUUUUGGUAGAAUUUUUCAAGUGUUAGAAGUAUGGUUGUAGCGACCCGACCUCAGAUGGUCAAGUCUCUAUGCUUCAGUGUCAUCCUUGGAUCGGUAAUGCUGACACACACAGUACUCGAAGGAUUUAUAACAGAGUAGCAAUCACACACUUAUUACAUCGAAUGUCUCAAGAGAGAACUUAUUACAAUAAUAUGGCUUAAGGCCAUCUAAUACGAUAACAGCGGAAGGCUUGGAAGAUAAGGUGAGUCCAUCAACUCCAACGGCAUAGCUGAGCUGCACGGCAACGACCUAAUGAACCUUACUCCUUGUCUGAAAAGUCUGCAACAUAAUACGUUGCAGCCCGAAAAUGGAUCAGCACAUGGAAUAUGCUGGCAAUGUAACACAGUAGAGCAAGAACAGAAUAAUGCUAUCACUACAUGCAUAUAUGGCUGGUGGAAAGCUCUAUGGUUUAUAGUUUUUGUGAAAAGCCAAUUUUUCCCUACAGCAAAGGAAUAUAUUUUAAUUUUUACUAUCAUGGUAGUUGAAACAUCAUUGAGAAGGUUCCUCCAACUCAAUCCAAAUUAAAGUGAUUAACAACCCAACAAUAUUAAUUAAACAUGAUGAGAUACUUUUGAUAACCCAAGUACUAGAUACUCAAGAAUUGUCCAUAACCGGGGACACGACUAACCAUGAUUAGAUUGUACACUCUGCAGAGGUUUGUGCACUUUUCCCCACAAGACUCGAUCUCCUCCAUUGGAUUUCUCGCACUACAGGGUGUUUGAGAAACGGAUGAUCGAGACACAGUCUUUCAGAAACAUUAACUCUCUACUCCGGACAGACCAUACCAAACCUACAUCCCACUACCUGCUGAUCUGCCUCUUCAAGAGCUUCACGUAACUUACUCAACUAUGCUAGAGCCCAUAAUAGCUUGUGGCUGCACACGGAAGUUUCUAGCAUGAAUCAUCUCCGUUCCCUUUGAGCCUGGGUGGCGGUCCAUAGGAAGAUCACACGGGUACUCCGGAAUUUCCAAAAAAACAGGCAACACUGGGUACUCCAGGUGCCUCAAUCCACCCAGUUGUUUGAUUAAGUUGCCACCUUAAGUUGAACCAUUAAUUUAACAAUCUCACAUCUGUCAUGGAUUUCACUCAAACCCAAACCACGUCUACGAGCAUAGCAUAGCAUAGUAACAUAAGCAACACGUAGAGUAACUCCCAAGGGUUUGAAUGUAACAGGGCAAUAGGUUCUACCUCAUCAAGUACUUCCCAACCCACAAGUUAAUGACAUCCUAAUCAUGCAAUGUUUGAGGAUUGGAACUAAUGCAUAACUGGGUGAUAAAGGGGUAUGAUCAAAGUGUUACUUGCCUUGCUGACGAUCUGCGAAACCUAGGGACUCGUAGUAGCAUGCUUCGCACUCCGGGUGUUCUAUCGCAAGCAAACAAUAGCAUACAUAAGUAACAAGCAACGAUGCACAAGUAAAACUCAAAUAAAAGAGGUUGACCAGAAAGUUCAAAUUAAGAACUCUGGUUCGCAAAAAGAAUCAAAUCGAACGGAGCAACGAAACUCAAACGGCGAAAGAAAGAAGCUUCGUUCACUAAUCUGAAACUAGGUCAAAUUUUACAUUAGAGAAAACUUGUUUGAGUUGGUUAAACGGAAAGACGGUUUUGAGAUGAAACUCUAGGCGCUUGAAUCGCCUGAUUCUGACUAACGAGCGAAAAGAUAAACAUAAACUAAGAUCGAAUCAGAAAUCGCGAUCAGAGAAUAUCGCGGAAUAAAUCCGAUAAAAGAAAACUGACGAACAGACUAACGAAUGAGCGUUCGUUAGCUGUAUCUAAUGGGCGAAGAACCGUUCGUUAAAACGAAUGUUCGGACGAACGUCCGCUAAUUAGAAGAACCGAGAAAAACCGGCGAAUCCGAAAAAAAACAGAUUUAGGGUUUCUAAAAAAACCGAAUGGUUUUAUAAAAAAAACGGCGGCGGAGUCUGACGACUACCUCCAGCGAGAGGUCCGGCGAGGCGAGGUACGGCGGCAGAGCGGCGGCGGCGGCAAGGCGGCGGCGGCGGCGNNNNNNNNNNNNNNNNNNNNNNNNNNNNNNNNNNNNNNNNNNNNNNNNNNNNNNNNNNNNNNNNNNNNNNNNNNNNNNNNNNNNNNNNNNNNNNNNNNNNNNNNNNNNNNNNNNNNNNNNNNNNNNNNNNNNNNNNNNNNNNNNNNNNNNNNNNNNNNNNNNNNNNNNNNNNNNNNNNNNNNNNNNNNNNNNNNNNNNNNNNNNNNNNNNNNNNNNNNNNNNNNNNNNNNNNNNNNNNNNNNNNNNNNNNNNNNNNNNNNNNNNNNNNNNNNNNNNNNNNNNNNNNNNNNNNNNNNNNNNNNNNNNNNNNNNNNNNNNNNNNNNNNNNNNNNNNNNNNNNNNNNNNNNNNNNNNNNNNNNNNNNNNNNNNNNNNNNGCGGCGGCGGGGCUAGGCGGUGCGGCAGCGGGGCUUGGCGCGGGGCGGCGGUGGUUGUGGGGGUGGGGCUCGGGCGGCGCGUAUAUAAAGGGGCGGGGCGGGGCGGCUUGGAGGAGGGGCCAAGGCGGCGGCCGUGGAGUCCGGCUCGGACUCCUUGUCUGAGUGGGCGGGGGCGGCGCCCGCGCGGGGAAGGUGGCGGCAGCGCGGCGACCUGGCUCGGCUGGGCCUUAGGCCCAGUCGGGCGCGGGAACUUUAAAAAAAAAAUUCACCGACCGAAAUAAAUCCAAAAAAAUAAAAAUAAAAAAAACUAAAAAUGCCACAAUAAUUUUUCACCGUCUAAAUAAAAUAUUUAGAACAAGAUGAACAUUUUCUUGGCCCUAAAAUGCAAUUUUGAGAACGUGCAAUUUUUUCUAAUGCAACAAAAUUGCAAUAAAAUCCAAAUGGAACAAAUAUUUGAUUUUAAUAUUUUUCCUCCAAUAUUUCAUUUAUUUUGGAGAAGUCAUCUUAUCUCCUCUCUUGUAUUUUAAUAUGAAAUAUUUUCAGAGAGAAAAAUAAUUAAAACCAAAAUCCUCGUUUUCAAGAUUUGAUAAAGAUCAAAUUUGAAAACCUGGAAAUCCCCAACUCUCUCCAAGGGUCCUUGAGUUGCUAAGGAUUUUGAGGAUCGCGAGACGAAAUGCGAAUAAAAUAUGAUAUGCAUGGAUGACUAUGUAUAACAUUCCAAAUUGAAAAUUUGGGAUGUUACAAACCUACCCCCCUUAAGAUGAAUCUCGCCCUCGAGAUUCGAGUUGGCUAGAAAAUAGGUGUGGGUGGUCUUUGCGAAGAUCAUCCUCUCGUUCCCAGGUGGCUUCGUCCUCGGUAUGGUGGCUCCACUGAACUUUGCAAAACUUGAUAACCUUACUUCGGGUGAUUCUGCUGGCAAACUCAAGAAUCUUAACUGGUUUCUCCUCAUAAGUCAAAUCACUGUCCAACUGAAUCGCCUCCAGGGGUACUGUAUCUCUUAGCGGUCUAUCUGCCAUCUCAGCAUGACACUUCUUCAACUGUGAAACGUGAAACACGUCAUGAACUCCUGACAAUCCCUCGGGUAACUCCAACUUGUAGGCAACUUCUCCCAUCCGUUCCAAAAUACGAUACGGUCCUACAAAUCUUGGGGCUAACUUUCCCUUAACUCCAAAACGUUUCACUCCUCGCAAGGGUGAUACUCGCAGAUAUGCUCGAUCUCCAAUUUCAUAGGUUACCUCCUUGCGUUUUGAGUCAGCAUAACUCUUCUGCCUGGACUGGGCAAUCUUCAGCCUAUCUUGAAUCAAUUUAACCUUCUCCUCAGACUCCUUGAUCAAGUCUGGUCCAAACAACUGUCGGUCUCCUACCUCGUCCCACAUUAACGGUGUUCUGCAUCUUCGUCCAUACAGGGCUUCAAACGGUGCCAUCUUCAAACUAGCUUGAUAGCUAUUGUUGUAGGAAAACUCUGCGUAUGGCAAAUUGUCAUCCCAACUAGAUCCAUAAUCUAGCGCACAGGCUCCCAACAUGUCCUCCAAAAUUUGGUUGACUCUCUCUGUUUGUCCAUCCGUCUGCGGGUGAAAUGCUGUACUAAACUCCAAUCUCGUUCCCAGGGUCUGGUGCAACUGGUGCCAAAACUUUGAGGUAAACUAUGUUCCACGAUCUGAUAUGAUGGUCCUCGGAACUCCAUGCAGACAUACAAUCCUGGACAUAUAUAUCUUGGCCAACUUUGCACUCGUAUAGGUGGUUUUCACUGGGAUGAAGUGAGCUACUUUGGUCAAGCGAUCAACUACUACCCAUAUGGAAUCAUAUCCUGCUUUGGUCCUGGGCAAUCCGGUGAUAAAGUCCAUGCCCAGUUUAUCCCACUUCGAUUCGGGUAUCGGCAUAGGCUGUAACAGUCCUGCUGGCUUCUGAUGCUCUGCCUUCACGGGUUGACAUAAAUCACAUAUGGCUACAUACUCUGCAAUAUCCUUCUUCAUACCGGUCCACCAGAAACAUUCCUUCAAAUCCAAAUACAUCUUGGUGUUUCCGGGGUGUAUCGAGUAUGGUGAGUCAUGGGCCUCUUGAAGUAUUAAGUUCCUGAUCUCCUGGUUAUUGGGCACAUAAACUCGGUCCUCAAACCAUAGGGUAUCGUGCUCAUCUUCAUGAAAACCUUUGGCCUUUCCUUUGCUCAUCUUCUCCUUUAUCUCAGCAAUCUCCUUGUCCUUUUUCUGGGCUUCCCGAAUCUUGUCCAGCAAUGUCGACUGGACCUCCAUUGUUGCAAUAAAUUCUCUAGGAACAAUCUCCAAUCGAAGUUCCAUGAUGUCCUCUGCUAAUUCCUUCGGCAGUCCCUUACUUUCAAGGAUAUUAGCAUAACUCUUCCGGCUCAAAGCGUCUGCUAUGACAUUGGCCUUUCCUGGAUGAUAGUGUAGCUUCAUGUCAUAAUCCUUUAUAAGUUCCAACCAUCUCCUCUAUCUAAGGUUCAGUUCCUUCUAGGUGAAAAUGUACUUCAAACUCUUAUGGUCCAUGUACACAUCACAAUGGUUUCCAAUAAGGUAAUGUCUCCAGGUCUUCAAUGCAUGUACUACGGCUGCUAACUCCAAAUCAUGCUUGGCAUAGUUUAACUCAUGAGGUUUCAAUUGUCGUGAAGCAUACAAAACAACUCUCCCGUCCUGCAUAAGCACACAUCCAAGUCCUAAGCGUGAGGCAUCGCAGUACACUUGGAACUCCUUAUGUAUAUCUGGCAGUGUUAGCACUGGCGCUGUAGUCAAACGUUUCUUCAAUUCCUGGAAACUUGCCUCGCAAUCUUCUGUCCAUUUAAACUUAGUAUCCUUCUUCAACAGUUUAGUCAUUGGCUUUGCAAUCUUGGAAAAAUUCUCGAUGAAUCUCCGGUAGUAUCCUGCGAGUCCAAGAAAACUGCGGAUCUCGCUAACUGAAGUGGGUGCCAACCAUUCAGUGACUGACUGAAUUUUGCUGGGGUCUACUGCUAUACCUUCUCCCGAUAUAACAUGUCCAAGGAACCCGACUUCCUUCAACCAAAAUUUGCAUUUGCUAAACUUAGCAUACAACUGGUGUUCCCUGAGUUUCUCGAGAACUAAGCGCAAAUGCUCCUUGUGCUCCUCCUUAUUCUUCGAGUAUACCAUAAUAUCAUCAAUAAACACCACAACAAACUUGUUCAAAUACUCCAUGAACACCUUGUGCAUCAUGCUCAUGAAAUAGGCAGGGGCGUUAGUCAGUCCAAAUGACAUGACCGUGUACUCGUAUAAUCCAUAUCGUGUUGUGAACGCUGUCUUCGGUAUGUCCUUCUCUCGUAUCUUCAACUGAUGAUACCCAGAUCGCAAAUCGAUCUUCGAAAACACUUUAGCUCCUUGCAACUGAUCAAACAGAUCGUUGAUCAUCGGCAGUGGGUACUUAUUCUUAAUCGUCACUUCAUUUAAUGCUCGAUAAUCAACAACCAUCCUCAGGGAUUUAUCCUUCUUCUCAACCAAAAGUACUGGGGCUCCCCAAGGUGAUGAACUUCUUCGGAUGUAUCCUUUCUCCAAUAACUCCUUGAUCUGUUUCUUAAUUUCUUCCAGAUCAUUUGUGGGCAUCCGAUAGGGUCUCUUGGAUAUUGGUCCUGUACCUGGCAACAGCUCUAUCAAAAACUCAAUGUCUCUAUCCGGUGGCAUGCCUGGUAACUCCUCUGGAAAAACAUUCGGGUAAUCCUUCACUACAGGCACUUCCUCCUGAACAACUCACGUAAGGGCAUUCACUUGACUCCUCCUAGGCACAUGCCUAGAUACAUAAUUAAUCCUUUUUCCUUCCGGGGUGGUGAGACAAAUCGACUUACUAGCAUAGUCAAUGCUUCCUCCAAAAUUUGACAUCCAGUCCAUACCCAAUAUCACAUCCAGUCCUUGUGACUCCAAGAUAAUUAGGUCGGACGGAAAAACAUGUGUACCAAUGGUUAAGGGUAUCUGGUCACACCAUCGGCUGGCCAUAUACUCUGCUCCGGGUGAACUUACUAAAAGAGGGGUCCUAAAGGUUUGGGUUGGUAGUUUAAACUUAUCCACGAAUCCCCUUGAUAUGUAUGAAUGUGAUGCACCAGUAUCGAAAAGAACAAGAGCGGUAAAUGACUUAACCAAAAACUUACCUAUUACCGCAUUCGGCUGCUCUUCAACCUCCUCCACGUUAACGUGGUUCACUUGUCCUUUGUUGAAUGGAUUUGUCUUCUUCCCAGCGCUCCCAUUUCCAUUUCCAUUCUUUCCUUCAGGUCACUCCGUGGCGUAGUGUCCAGUCUUCCCGAACUUGAAACAAGUAACAUGACUUAAGUCCCUUUUGGCGGGUGUGGCUGGGUUGGGGCGAUUAUGAUUAUUGUUGGUUCCGUUCCCAUUCCCAUUCUUAGAACCAUUGUGGUUAUGCGAUCCUCCUCCAGUAUGGUUGUGACCUCCAUGGUUAUGAACAAGUCCUCUCGAGUUCGGGGUUAGGCGAGGUUUCUGCUGAGCUCUUGAGUUAUACUUCCCUUGUCCAUACUUCCUCUUGCGGCUCUCAAUCUGCUGCUGCUUCCCUUUAAUCAUAAGAGCCUUAUCUACCAACUCCUGGUAGUUGUUGAAGGUUGCUACCAUCAACUGCAUGCUCAUCUCAUCAUUCAGCCCUUCCAUAAACUUCUCCUGCUUUACGGCAUCUGUGGCCACAUCAUCAGGGGCGUAGCGAGAUAACUUGCUAAACUCAUCCACAUACUGAGCCAUAGUACGGUUCCCCUGGCGUAGGUUGCGGAACUCCCGCUUCUUCAUUUGCAUAGCUCCAGUGGAGACAUGGGUUGUGCGGAAAGCUUGCUGAAACUGGUCCCAAGUGACAUUGGGUAUAGGAAAAGUGGCUGUGUAAUUCUCCCACCAUGAGGCUGCUGGUCCAUCCAAUUGAUGUGCGGCAAAGCACACUCUCUCAGCAUCUGUGCAACCUGCGGUGGUCAACUCCCUUCCAAUACGGCGCAGCCAAUCGUCCGCACCUAUGGGCUCGGUGCUACUGGAAAACACUGGCGGCUGUAACCUUAGAAAACGAGCUAGGUUGUCCACGGGCGGCGGGUUGUUGUUGUUGUUGUUGCCCUGAUUCUGAACUAGCAAUUGCAUCAACGUAUUCUGCUAUUGGAUCAACUGGGUGAGCUCCGGUGGGAAGGCAAAAUCGGGGUCACGUCUCAGAGGCAUCUGAGGGGUUUAGAUUGAAGAGAUUUAGAAUAGGAAAGAGGUCUAAUGAGAAAACACUACCCAUAUGCACAUGAGACAAACACAAUCAUUUCACUCAAUCAAUCAAGCAAGGGCAUACAAACGAUCUAGAACUAUCGCACAAGUGUUCAACUACUACUAAAUACAUGGGGGAAUACUAGUGAUAUAUGGCAGUCAUCUAGAAAUUUUGAUCGGUGGAAGACUCCAUGAUGUCUGCUCCAGCUUCGUCUUCAUAGUCAUCAUCACUAGGAUCGGAAUCGGUGUCGUCGAUGAUGAUGUAGUCCUCGGGGCGUAUCUCCUUGGGUUCUUCUUCUUCUUCUAUUGGUGCUGGUCCUCCCAUGAAUACUCUGAUCUUCUUGACUAGGUCGUCAUUCUUCUCCAGUAGUGUCUUGAUUUCCUCCUCAUAUCCAUCACGUACAAACUUGAGUUCUUCCUCCAGUUUGAUGAUCCUAGUCUUUGCCCUCUUUAAGUCCAUCAUGUCCGCGCACAUCUGGUUUUCCUGACGUCGGAUGUGCUGGUUUAACUCCUGGAUGAAAGCUACAAUGGAUCUAUCCUUCCUGGUGCUGAUUACUUCCCAUUGCUCGUCUCGGUGCCCACAUAUUUGGUAAAUAGUGUCCUUAAGCUCCCUGUUGUAAACUUCUCCAAUGCGUCCAAUGGUAAUAUGGGCUGCCCUGCUCUUGCCUAGACUCCAGGUGGGUGCUUCGAAAGAAAACUCUAUGGGUUUAGAAGUUGGCGAGAAUGUCCUUCCUAGAACUUGUACUUGAAUCAUCCAGCGCUCCUCUUCAGGUAAAGUGGCGUUGUACAUCCCGGUGAAGCUUGGUAUUCCAAUGUUCAAGUACCUAGUGACUUCCUUCAAGUGACGUCCAAAAGGUGUGUCUUCAUCCGGUUGUGCAAACUUGUUCUUCAUCUCCAUCAUCCUAAAGAGUAGAAAAUGGAGAGUAGUUAGAAAUGAGAAGAGAGGUGUGACCUAGGGUUUAUCUUAGUGGUCAUGUGCUACACUCAGCGUAUGCUCUGAUACCAUCUUGUAGUGACCCGGCCUCAGAUGGUCAAGUCUCUGUGCUUCAGUGUCAUCCCUGGAUCGGUAAUGCUGACACACACAGUACUCGAAGGAUUUAUAACAGAGUAGCAAUCACACACUUAUUACAUCGAAUGUCUCAAGAGAGAACUUAUUACAAUAAUAUGGCUUAAGGCCAUCUAAUACGAUAACAGCGGAAAGCUUGGAAGAUAAGGUGAGUCCAUCAACUCCAACGGCAUAGCUGAGCUGCACGGCAACGACCUAACGAACCUUACUCCUUGUCUGAAAAGUCUGCAACAUAAUACGUUGCAGCCCGAAAACAGGUCAGCACAUGGAAUAUGCUGGCAAUGUAACACAGUAGAGCAAGAACAGAAUAAUGCUAUCACUACAUGCAUAUAUGGCUGGUGGAAAGCUCUAUGGUUUGUAGUUUUUGCGAAAAGCCAAUUUUUCCCUACAGCAAAGGAAUAUAUUUUAAUUUUUACUAUCAUGGUAGUUGAAACAUCAUUGAGAAGGUUCCUCCAACUCAAUCCCAAUUAAAGUGAUUAACAACCCAACAAUAUUAAUUAAACAUGAUGAGAUACUUUUGAUAACCCAAGUACUAGAUACUCAAGAAUUGUCCAUAACCGGGGACACGGCUAACCAUGAUUAGAUUGUACACUCUGCAGAGGUUUGCGCACUUUUCCCCACAAGACUUGAACUCCUCCUUUGGAUUUCUCACACUACAGGGUGUUUGAGAAACGGAUGACCGAGACACGGUCUUUUAGAAACAUUAACUCUCUACUCCGGACAGACCAUACCAAACCUACAUCCCACUACCUGCUGAUCUGCCUCUUCAAGAGCUUCACGUAACUUACUCAACUAUUCUAGAGCCCAUAAUAGCUUGUGGCUGCACACGGAAGUUUCUAGCAUGAAUCACCUCAGUUCCCUUUGAGCCUGGGUGGCGGUCCAUAGGAAGAUCACACGGGUACUCCGGGAUUUCCAAAAAAACAGGCAACACUGGGUACUCCAGGUGCCUCAAUCCACCCAGUUGUUUGAUUAAGUUGCCACCUUAAGUUGAACCAUUAAUUUAACAAUCUCACAUCUGUCAUGGAUUUCACUCAAACCCAAACCACGUCUACGAGCAUAGCAUAGCAUAGUAAUAUAAGCAACACGUGGAGUAACUCCCAAGGGUUUGAAUGUAACAGGGCAAUAGGUUCUACCUCAUCAAGUACUUCCCAACCCACAAGUUAAUGACAUCCUAAUCAUGCAAUGUUUGAGGAUUGGUACUAAUGCAUAAAAACUGGGUGAUAAAGGGGUAUGAUCAAAGUGUUACUUGCCUUGCUGACGAUCUGCGAAACAUAGGGACUCGUAGUAGCACGCUUCGCACUCCGGGUGUUCUAUCGCAAGCAAACAAUAGCAUACAUAAGUAACAAGCAACGAUGCACAAGUAAAACUCAAAUAAAAGAGGUUGACCAGAAAGUUCAAAUUAAGAACUCUGGUUCACAAAAAGAAUCAAAUCAAACGGAGCAACGAAACUCAAACGGCAAAAGAAAGAAGCUUCGUUAACUAAUCUGAAACUAGGUCAAAUUUUACAGUAGAGAAAACUUGUUUGAGUUGUUUAAACGGAAAGAGGGUUUCGAGAUGAAACUGUAGGCGCUUGAAUCGCCUGAUUCCGACUAACGAGCGAAAAGAUAAACAGAAACUAAGAUCGGAUUAGAAAUCGCGGAAUAAAUCCGACAAAAGAAAACUGACGAACAUACUAACGAACGAGCGUUCAUUAGCUGUAUCUAACAGGCGAAGAACCGUUCGUUAAAACGAAUGUUCGGAUAAACGUCCGCUAAUUAGAAGAACCGAGAAAAACCGGCGAAUCCAAAAAAAUGGAUUUAAGGUUUCUAAAAAAACCGAAUGGUUUUAUAAAAAAAAUCGGUGGCGGAGUCCGGUGACUACCUCCGGCGAGAAGUUCGGCGAGGCGAGGUGCGGCGGCGGAGCGGCGGCUCGCGGGGCGGCGGCGGCGUUCGGCNNNNNNNNNNNNNNNNNNNNNNNNNNNNNNNNNNNNNNNNNNNNNNNNNNNNNNNNNNNNNNNNNNNNNNNNNNNNNNNNNNNNNNNNNNNNNNNNNNNNNNNNNNNNNNNNNNNNNNNNNNNNNNNNNNNNNNNNNNNNNNNNNNNNNNNNNNNNNNNNNNNNNNNNNNNNNNNNNNNNNNNNNNNNNNNNNNNNNNNNNNNNNNNNNNNNNNNNNNNNNNNNNNNNNNNNNNNNNNNNNNNNNNNNNNNNNNNNNNNNNNNNNNNNNNNNNNNNNNNNNNNNNNNNNNNNNNNNNNNNNNNNNNNNNNNNNNNNNNNNNNNNNNNNNNNNNNNNNNNNNNNNNNNNNNNNNNNNNNNNNNNNNNNNNNNNNNNNNNNNNNNNNNNNNNNAAGGCGGCGGCGGUGGAGUCCGGCUCGAACUCCUUAUCCGAGUCGGCGGCGGCGGUGGCACGCGCGGGGAAGGCGACGGCGGCGCGGCGGCCUGGCUCGGCUGGGCCUUAGGCCCAGUUGGGCGCGGGAAUUUUUUUAAAAUAAUUUCGCCGACCGAAAUAAUUCCUAAAAAAAUAAAAAUGCCAAAAUAAUUUUCACCGUCUAAAUAAAAUAUUUAGAACGAGAUGAACAUUUUCUUGGCCCUAAAAUGCAAUUUUGAAAACGUGCAAUUUUUUCUAAUGCAACAAAAUUGCAAUAAAAUCCAAAUGGAACAAAUAUUUGAUUUUAAUAUUUUUCCUCCAAUAUUUCAUUUAUUUUGGAGAAGUCAUCUUAUCUCCUCUCUUGUAUUUUAAUAUGAAAUAUUUUUGGAGAGAAAAAUAAUUAAAACCAAAAUCCUCGUUUUCAAGAUUUGAUAAAGAUCAAAUUUGAAAACCGGGAAAUCCCCAACUCUCUCAGAGGGUCCUUGAGUUGCUUAGGAUUUCGAGGAUCGCGAGACGAAAUGCGAAUAAAAUAUGAUAUGCAUGGAUGACUAUGUAUAACAUUCCAAAUUGAAAAUUUGUGAUGUUACAAUGGUGAAUGUUCAGAUUAUUACACACUGUUCUGUUUUAGAUAGAUUCUGUUUUUGAUGCAUAGUUUGCUUGUUUUGAUGAAACUAUCGAUUCAUAUCAGUGGAUUUAGCCAUGAAAAAGUUAUACUACAGUAGACAGAAUGCAAAAACAAAAUAUGAAUUGGUUUUCAACAAUACUUAGAGUAGUGAUUUGCUUUAUUAUACUAACGGAUCUUACCGAGUUUUCUGUUGAAGUUUUGUGUGGAUGAAGUAUUCGAUGAUCGAGAAGGUCUCGAUGUGAGAAGAAGGAAGAGAGGCAAGAGCUCAAGCUUGUGUAUGCCCGAGGCACCCCAAGUAAAUAUUCAAGGAGACUCAAGUGUCUAAGCUUGGGGAUGCCCCGGAAGGCAUCCCCUCUUUCUUCAACAAGUAUCGGUAUGUUUUCGGAUUCGUUUCGUUCAUGUGAUAUGUGCAAUCUUGGAGCGUCUUUUGCAUUUAGUUUUCAUUUUUUCUUUUAUGCACCAUGCUGGUAUGAGAUAGCCCUUGGUUGAUUUAUAGAAUGCUCUUUGCACUUCACUUAUAUCUUUUGAGUAUGGCUUUAUAGAAUGCUUCAUGCGCUUCACUUAUAUCAUUUGAAGUUUGGAUUGCCUGUUUCUCUUUACAUAGAAAACUGCCAUUUGUAGAAUGCACUUUUGCUUCACUUAGAUUUGUUAGAGCACUGGCAUAUCUUUUGUAGAAAGAAUUAAACUCUUGCUUCACUUAUAUCUAUUUGGAGAGAUGACAGGAACUGGUCAUUCACAUGGUUAGUCAUAAAAUCCUACAUAAAACUUGUAGAUCACUGAAUAUGAUAUGUUUGAUUCCUUGCAAUAGUUUUGCGAUAUAAAGAUGGUGAUAUUAGAGUCAUGCUAGUGGGUAGUUGUGGAUUGUAGAAAUACUUGUGUUGAGGUUUGUGAUUCCCGUAGCAUGCACGUAUGGUGAACCGUUAUGUAACAAAGUCGGAGCAUGAUUUAUUUAUUGAUUGUCUUCCUUAUGAGUGGCGGUCGGGGACGAGCGAUGGUCUUUUCCUACCAAUCUAUCCCCCUAGGAGCAUGCGCGUAGUACUUUGUUUCGAUGACUAAUAGAUUUUUGCAAUAAGUAUGUGAGUUCUUUAUGACUAAUGUUGAGUCCAUGGAUUAUACGCACUCUCACCCUUCCACCAUUGCUAGCCUCUCUAGUAUCGCGCAACUUUCGCCGGUACCUUAAACCCACCAUACAUCUUCCUCAAAACAGCCACCAUACCUACCUAUCAUGGCAUUUCCAUAGCCAUUCCGAGAUAUAUUGCCAUGCAACUUCCAUCAUCAUCAUAUACAUGACUUGAGCAUUCAUUGUCAUAUUGCUUUGCAUGAUCGUAAGAUAGCUAGCAUGAUGUUUUCAUGGCUUGUCCAUUUUUUGAUGUCAUUGCUACGCUAGAUCAUUGCACAUCCCGGUACACCGCCGGAGGCAUCCAUAUAGAAUCAUACUUUGUUCUAGACAUUGAGUUGUAAGUAAAUAAAAGUGUGAUGAUCAUCAUUAUUAGAGCAUUGCCCCAGUGAGGAAAGGAUGAUGGAGACUAUGAUUCCCCCAUAAGUCGGGAUGAGACUCCGGACUUUACAAAAAAAUAAAAGAGGCCAAAGAAGCCCAAAUAAAAAAAAAGAGGCCAAAGAAGCCCACCAAAAAAUAAAAACAAAAAAACAAAAAAAUGAAAGAAAAAGAGAGAAGGGGCAGUGCUACUAUCCUUUUCCACACUUGUGCUUCAAAGUAGCACCAUGUUCUUCAUAUAGAGAGUCUCUUGAGUUAUCACUUUCAUAUACUAGUGGGAAUUUUCAUUAUAGAACUUGGCUUGUAUAUUCCGAUGAUGGGCUUCCUCAAAUGCCCGAGGUCUUCAUUAGCAAGCAAGUUGGAUGCACACCCACUUAGUUUCAGUUGGAGCUUUCAUACACUUAUAGCUCUAGUGCAUCCGUUGCAUGGCAAUCCCUACUCACUCACAUUGAUAUCUAUUGAUGGGCAUCUCCAUAGCCCGUUGAUAAGCCUAGUUGAUGUGAGACUAUCUUCUCCUUUUUGUCUUCUCCACCAUCAUAUUCUAUUCCACCUAUAGUGCUAUGUCCAUGGCUCACGCUCAUGUAUUGCGUGAAAGUUGAAAAGGUUUGAGAACGUCAAAAGUAUGAAACAAUUGCUUGGCUUGUCAUCGGGGUUGUGCAUGAUGUGAAUAUUUUGUGUGGUGAAGAUGGAGCAUAGCCAAACUAUAUGAUUUUGUAGGGAUAACUUUCUUUGGCCAUGUUAUUUUGAAAAGACAUGAUUACUUUAUUAGUAGGCUUGAAGUAUUAUUGUUUUUAUGUCAAAUGAUAGACUAUUGCUUUGAGUCACACAUAUCCUAAUAUUCAUGCCAUAAUUAGAUUACAUGAUCAAGAUUAUGCUAGGUAGCAUUCCACAUCAAAAAUUAUCUUUUUUUAUCAUUUACCUACUCGAGGACGAGCAGGAAUUAAGCUUGGGGAUGUUGAUACGUCUCUGUCGUAUCUAUAAUUUUUGAUUGUUCCAUGCCAAUAUUCUACAACUUUCAUAUACUUUUGGCAACUUUUUAUAUUAUUUUUGGGACUAACAUAUUGAUCCAGUGCCAGUUCCUGUUUGUUGCAUGUUUUUUGUUUCGCAGAAUAUCCAUAUCAAACAGAGUCCAAACGGGAUAAAAACUAACUGAGAUUUUUUUGGAAUAUAUAUGAUAUUUGGGAAGAAAAAUCCACGUGAGACGGUGCCCGAGGUGGCCAUGAGGCAGGGGGCGCGCCCCUGACCCUCGUGGGCCACCCAUAAGGCGGUUGAUGCCCUUCUUUCUCCGCAAGAAAGCUAAUAUCCGGAUAGAGAUCGUGUUAAAAUUUCAGCCCAAUCGGAGUUACGGAUCUCCGGGAUAUAAGAAACGGUGAAAGGGAAGAAUCUGAGAACGCAGAAACAGAGAGAGACAGAGAGACAGAUCCAAUCUCGGAGGGGCUCUCGCCCCUCCCGUUCCAUGGAGGCCAUGGACCAGAGGGGAAACCCUUCUCCCAUCUAGGGAGGAGGUCAAGGAAGAAGAAUAAGGAGGGGGGCUCUCUCCCCCUCGCUUCCGGUGGCACCGGAGUGCCACCGGGGGCCAUCAUCAUCACCGCGAUCUACACCAACACCUCCGCCAUCUUCACCAACAUCUCCAUCACCUUCCCCCCUCUAUCUACAGCGGUCCACUCUCCCGCAACCCGAUGUACCCUCUACUUGAACAUGGUGCUUUAUGCUUCAUAUUAUUAUCCAAUGAUGUGUUGCCAUCCUAUGAUGUCUGAGUAGAUUUUCGUUGUCCUAUCGGUGGUUGAUGAAUUGCUAUGAUUGAUUUAAUUUGCUUGUGGUUAUGUUGUUGUCCUUUGGUGCCCAUCAUAUGAUUGCGCGUGUGGAUCACACCCUAGGGUUAGUUGUAUGUUGAUAGGACUAUGUAUUGGAGGGCAAGAGUGACAGAAGCUUCAACCUAGCAUAGAAAUUGAUGCAUACGGGAUUGAAGGGGGACCAAUAUACCUUAAUGCUAUGGUUGGGUUUUACCUUAAUGAACAUUAGUAGUUGUGGAUGCUUGCUAAUAGUUCCAAUCAUAAGUGCAUAGAAUUCCAAGUCAGGGAUGACAUGCUAGCAGUGGCCUCUCCCACAUAAUAUUUGCUAUCGGUCUAGUAAAGUAGUCAAUUGCUCAGGGGCAAUUUCGCAACUCCUACCACCACUUUUCCACACUCGCUAUAUUUACUUUAUUGUGUCUUUACUUAAACAGCCCCUACUUUUUAUUUACGUAAUCUUUAUUAUCUUGCAAAUAUAUCCAACAACACCUACAAAGUACUUCUGGUUUCAUACUUGUUCUAGGUAAAGCGAACGUCAAGCGUCCGUAGAGUUGUAUCGAUGGUCGAUAGAACUUGAGGGAAUAUUUGUUCUACCUUUAGCUCCUCGUUGGGUUCGACACUCUUACUUAUCGAAAAUUGUUGCGAUCCCCUAUACUUGUGGGUUAUCAACAACCUUUGCCUUCAAAGCGCAAGUUCGGCCAUAGUUGGGACCAUAGAUAUCUCUUUUCUCAGAUUGCUGGAACUCAUGUGUGUUGAGCCUCUCAAGUAUGUCAGACGGAUUGAGAGUCUUGAAGUCAGGGCGUUCUUGAAUCAUUAGGGCCAGGGUGUCGAAUGAGCUGUCAAGCGAUCUCAGAAGCGUCUUGACGAUUUUGUGCUUGGUGGUCUCAGUGGCGCCGAGUGCGCAAAGCUCAUUUGUGAUAUCAAUGAGGCGAUCAAAUGUGAGUUGGACAUUCUCAUUGUCAUUUCUCUUGAAGCGGUUGAAGAGGUUGCGAAGAACACUGAUCCUUGAGUCUCUCUGGGUUGAGACGCCUUCGUUGACCUUGGAGAGCCAGUCCCAGACUAGCUUCGCAGUUUUACCAAAGCACUCACACGACCAUAAUGUCCUUUGGUCAGAUGACCACAGAUGAUGUUCUUGGCAAUCGAGUCCAGUUGAAUGAAACUCUUGACAUUAGCAGCAGUGACACCUUCACCGACCUUGGGAACGCCAUUCUUGACGACAUACCAGAGGUCGACAUCAAUGGCUUCAAGAUGCAUGCGCAUGUUAUUCUUCCAGUAGAGGUAAUUAGUGCCAUCGAAGACAGGGCACGCAGCAGAGACUUUGAUUAUCCUUGCAGUCGACAUAGCUAAAACUCCAGGUGGUUAAACUGAAUCACACAGAACAAGGGAGCACCUUGCUCUGAUACCAAUUGAAAGUGCUAAUUAUCGACUAGAGGGGGGUGAAUAGGCGAUUUUUAUGGAAGUCUUCAAAACACGGGGACUUUGAAGACAAACAAUAGAAAUGAACCUAUUGAUAUGCAGCGCAAGGUAGACUAAACUAGACAAGCCAUAGUCAAGUAAGCAAUGAAGUGAAAGCACAAAGACUAUCUGCAGCUAGGUAGUAUGGAUCAGGAUGGAAAAUAGUAUGAAGCCAAAUAGUGAACAAUCUUCACACAGUGAAGCCAAUCAGAUCAUGCAAGCAGGCAUUGACUUCAUGAAGACAACUGUAAAGUAAAGAGAUGAGAAGGAUAGAACCAGUUGCUUGGAGAGGACACGAAUUUGGUAGACCAGUUCCAGUUGUUGUUACAACUGUAUGUCUGGUUAGGGAGGCUGAGAUUCAACUCAGAAGACCGCAUCUUCACCUUAUUCCCCUUGAGAUAAGGACACACAGUACUCGCCAAUCACUCUGGUAAGUCUUCAAGGUAUAUUUCCAAACCUUCACAGACUUCAUUCACCGGCAAUCCACAAUGACUCUUGGAUGCUCAGAACGCGACGCCUAACCGGCUGGAGGAUUCACAGUCCUCAAGUGUAACAAGUCUUCAGAUCACGCAGACAGAAAGACUUCAGUGAUGCCUAACACUCUUUGGCUUUGGGUGUUUUGGGCUUUGUCCUCACAAGGAUCUCUCUCUCAGAUGCCUCGGAGGUGGGUUGCUCUCAAACGACAAAAGCAGUGCACUAACUAUGAGCAGCCACUAAUUUAUGGUGUAGAGGGUGGGCUAUUUAUAGCCAGGAAGCAACCCGACUUGAUUUGUCCAAAAUGACCCUGGGUCACUAAGGAGCUGACACGUGUCCAACUGUCAGAUUUCAAACACAUGCGACAGCUUGACUUGGGCUACAAGUUAAGCCGACUCAUCCAGCUCUGGAUAAGAUUUGCUCUCAUUGUCUUCGCUCGAAGACAUAGGAUUUGGUUGAGCAUCACAUCAGUCACUCUGACUUUGUUCACAUGGAACCCACUUAACAGUAUGGUGGUUCCUAUGACUCAACAAAUAAGAAAAGGAACUACGAAACAACUAUGUCUUCGCACUCCAUAGCCUUCACGUGAUGUCUUCUCAUUUCAUAGUCUUCAAUGUGAAUAUCUUCACAGACCACCAUUGUCUUCAAUGUCUUCACAUAUUUUUAGGGGUCGUCUCUGGUAGGUAAACCGAAUCAAUGAGGGACUACUACCUGUGUUAUCCUGCAAUUCUCACAAACACAUUAGUCCCUCAACCAAGUUUGUCGUCAAUACUCUAAAACCAACUAGGGGUGGCACUAGAUGCACUUACAAUGUCCAAAGCUGCAUUGAACUCCUCGCGAGAGACUGAGGAUCCCCCAUUGGCCGUAGACGAGGACGGAAUCACACCAGGGUGCUCCUCCCCACCGUCUAUGCUAUCAACCAUACUCUUUGGAUGGUAAAGUCCUUAAAAAGAGACGAGGCUCUGAUACCAAUUGAAAGGAUCGAUAUAGUUGACUAGACGGGGGUGAAUAGGCAACUAACAAUUUUUAGCUUUUCUUUACCAAUUUAAACUUUGCAUCAAAGUAGGUUGUCUAGAUAUGCAACUAGGUGAGCAACCUAUAUGAUGCAACAACAACAAGCACACAAGCAAGCAAGGGAUACAACACAAUAUAAGCUUGCACAAGUAAUGGUAAGAGAUAACCAAGAGUGGAGCCGGUGGAGACGAGGAUGUGUUACCAAAGUUCCUUCCCUUUGAGAGGAAGUACGUCUCCGUUGGGGCAGUGUGGAGGCACAAUGCUCCCCAAGAAGCCACUAGGGCCACCAUAUUCUCCUCGCGCCCUCACACAAUGCGAGAUGUCGUGAUUCCACUAUUGGUGCCCUUGGAGGCGGCAAUCGAACCUUUACAAACAAGGUUGGGGCAAUCUCCACAAAUUAAUUGGAGGCUCCCAAUGACACCACGAAGCUUCACCACAAUGGAAUAUGGCUCUGCAGUGACGUCAACCGUCUAGGGUGCUCAAACAACCAAGAGUAACAAGAUCCGCAAGGGAUUAGUGGAGGGAAUCAAAUUUCUCUAUGAGGAAGUGUAGAUCGGGGCCUUCUCAACCAAUCCCUAGAAAAUCAACAAGUCUGAUUGGCUAGGGAGAGAGAUCGGGCGAAAAUGGAGCUUUGAGCAAUAAAUGGAGCUUGGGGAGGGAAGAGAUAGUCAACUUGGGGAAGAAGACCCCCUUAUAUAGUGAGAGGAAAGAUCCAACUGUUACCCACUUAACCAGCCCGCGACAUGCGGUACUACUGCACACACUCAUGGCACUACCGCAUAGGCACGCGGUACUACCGCUCGUGCGACAGGGGUGAGAUGAGGCCCUGUUGCACAAGGCAACGAGUGGUACUACCAUGUGCCCUUGUGAUACUACCGCAAGGCAGGGCUCAUUCUGGGCUGGGAAGGCACAUACUAAUAAAAUUACAUCCGUGGCUACUUCCGCUGAGUUUUGGUCUGUGCAAAAAUCCGGCAUGGUACUACAGCUCACAAGGAGCGGUACUACCGCGUAGGGUGCAGAAGUAAAAAAAUUACUUCCACCCCUACUUCCAUGCAUGCCACCAUUCUGGACCAGAGGCCACGGUACUACCGUGUGCUAGGAGCGGUACUACCGCUGCCAUGGGUGGUACUAUCGUGGGCAGCUGCGGUACUACUGCUGCCUUGAGCAGUACUACUGCACGCCAUAGAACAGUAGCACUAGGAAGCCUUCAUCUUCGCAACGACAAGGAAAACAACCGGUGCUCCAAUGAAGCGAAGGAAAGGUGGUGCAAAGGAACAGAUGUGUACAUCUUGAUUCCACCAUAACCUUUCUGAAGCGGACCCCCUCUUAAUAGUACGGCUUUCCUACAACUCAAUUCCACCGAAAAGAAACAUAGAGAAACGUCGUCUUCGAUAGGCUCCGAGGGGCACUGAAUAGUCUUGUUCCUAGACAUGAGAUAUCUGAAAUGCUCAAUGCACACGAUUAGUCCACAAAUGCAUUGUCAUCAAUCACCAAAACCACUUAGGGAGAAAUAUGCCCUUACAGCAACUUUAAGCAUCGCGAAGAGCUCGGGAAUUGUCUUUUCCAUCCCUUGCAUGUUAUAGUUCAUCACUAAGCCUUUAGCUUGGUGGCAGUGAUUAAAGAACUCUGACAAUGAUACUAUCAUCAGGAAGAUUAACUCCCAGCUGAGUCAAGUGGUUAUGCUACCUAGACAUUCUAAGUAUGUGUUCACUAACAGAACUGUUCUCCUCCAUCUUGCAGCUAUAGAACUUGUUGGAGACUUCAUCUCUCUCAACUCGGGCAUUUGCUUGAAAUAUUAACUUCAACUCUUGGAACAUCUCAUAUGCUCCAUGAUGUUCAAAACGUCUUUGAAGUCCCGAUUAUAAGCCAUAAAGCAUGGCACACUGAAUUAUCGAGUAGUCAUCAGCUUUAGUUUGCCAGAAGUUCAUAACGUCUAGAGUUGCUCCUGUAGCGGGCCUUGCACCUAGCGGUGCUUCCAGGAUGUAAUUCUUCUGUGCAGCAAUGAGGAUAAUCCUCAAGUUACGAACCCAGUCCGUGUAGUUGCUACCAUCAUCUUUCAACUUGCUUUCUCUAGGAACACAUUAAAAUUCAAGGGAAUGGUAGAACGGGCCAUUGAUCUACAACAACAUAAAUAUACAAAAAAAACUAUCAGGACUAAGUUCAUGAUAGAUUAAAGUUCAAUUAAUCAUAUUACUUAAGAACUCCCACUUAGAUAGACAUCCCUCUAGUCAUCUAAUUGAUCUCGUGAUCCAUAUCAACUAAAUCAUGUCCGAUCAUCACAUGAGAUGGAGUAGUUUUCAAUGGUGAACAUCACUAUGUUGAUCAUAUCUACUAUAUGAUUCACGUUCGACCUUUUGGUCUCAGUGUUCCGAGGCCAUAUCUGCAUAUGCUAGGCUCUUCAAGUUUAACCCGAGUAUUCUGCACAUGCAAAACUGGCUUGCACCCAUUAUAUGUGAACGUAGAGCUUAUCACACCCGAUCAUCACAUGGUGUCUCGGCACGACGAACUGUAGCAACGGUGCAUACUCAGGGAGAACACUUAUACCUUGAAAUUUAGUGAGGGAUCAUCUUAUAAUGCUACCGCCGUACUAAGCAAAAUAAGAUGCAUAAAAGAUAAACAUCACAUGCAAUCAAAAUAUAUGAAAUGAUAUGGCCAUCAUCAUCUUAUGCCUUUGAUCUCCAUCUCCAAAGCACCGUCAUGAUCUCCAUCGUCACCUGCUUGACACCUUUAUCUCCAUCGUAGCGUCGUUGUUGUCUCGCCAACUAUUGCUUCUACGACUAUCGCUACCGCUUAGUGAUAAAGUAAAGCAAUUACAUGGCGAUUACAUUUCAUACAAUAAAGCGACAACCAUAAGGCUCCUGCCAGUUGCCGAUAACUUUUACAAAACAUGAUCAUCUCAUACAACAAUUUAUAUCUCAUCACGGCUUGACCAUAUCACAUCACAACAUGCCCUGCAAAAACAAGUUAGACGUCCUCUACUUUGUUGUUGCAAGUUUUAUGUGGAUGCUACGGGCUUCUAGCAAGAACCAUUCUUACCUAUGCAUCAAAACCACAAUGAUUUUUCGUCAAGUGUGCUAUUUUAACCUUCAACAAGGACCGGUCGUAGUCCAAUUCGAUUCAACUAAAGUUGGAGAAACAGACACCCGCCAGCCACCUAUGUGCAAAAGCAUGUCGGUAGAACUGGUCUCAUGAACGUGGUCAUGUAAUGUUAGUCCGGGCCGCUUCAUCCAACAAUACCGCCGAAUCAAAAUAAGAUGUUGGUGGUAAGCAGUAUGACUAUUAUCGCCCACAACUCUUUGUGUUCUACUCGUGCAUAUCAUCUAUGCAUAGACCUGGCUCGGAUGCCACUAUCGGGGAAAGUAGUAUGCAAUUUCAAAAUUUUCCUACGAUCAUGCAAGAUCUAUCUAGGAGAGGCAUAGCAAUGAGAGGGGGAGAGUGUGUCCACGUACCCUCGUAGACCAAAAGCAGAAGUGUUAGGUUAACGCGGUUGAUGUAGUCGAACGUCUUCAUGAUCCAACUGAUCUUAGUAACGAACAUACGGCACCUUCGAGUUCAGCACACAUUCAGCUCGAUGACAUCCCUCGAACUCUUGAUCCAGCAGAGGGUCGAGGGAGAGUUCUGAUGACCCACAAGUGUAGGGGAUCUAUCGUAGCCUUCUCGAUAAGUAAGAGUGUCGAACCCAAUGAGGACAGAAGGAAAUGAUAAGCGGUUUUCAUCAAUGUAUUUUUUGCAAGCACUGAAAUUAUCGGCAACAGAUAGUUUUGUGAUAAGGUAAUUGGUAAUUGGUAACAAAUAGUAAAAGUAAAUAAGGUGCAGCAAUAUGACCCAAUCCUUUUUUAGCAAAGGACAAGCCUGGACAAACUCUUAUAUAAAGGAAAGCGCUCCCGAGGACACAUGGGAAUUAUUGUCAAGCUAGUUUUCAUCACACUCAUAUGAUUCGCGAUCGGUACUUUGAUAAUUUGAUAUGUGGGUGGACCGGUGCUUGGGUACUGUCCUUACUUGGACAAGCAUCCCACUUGUGAUUAACCCCUAUUGCAAGCAUCCGCAACUACAACAGAAGUAUUAAGGUAAACCUAAGCAUAGCAUGAAACAUAUGGAUCCAAAUCAGCCCCUUACGAAGCAACGCAUAAACUAGGGUUUAAGCUUCUGGCACUCUAGCAACCCAUCAUCUACUUAUUACUUCCCAUUGCCUCCCUCUAGGCCCAAACAAUGGUGAAGUGUCAUGUAGUCGAUGUUCACAUGACACCACUAUAGGGAUGACAACAUACAUCUCAUCAAAAUAUCGAACGAAUACCAAAUUCACAUGACUACUUAUAGCAAGACUUCUCACAUGUCCUCAGGAACAAACAUAACUACUCACAAAUCAUAUUCAUGUUCAUAAUCAGAGGGGUAUUAAUAUGCAUAAUGGAUCUGAACAUAUGAUCUUCCACCAAGUAAACCAACUAGCAUCAACUACAAGGAGUAAUCAACACUACUAGCGACCCACAGGUACCAAUCUGAGGUUUGGAUACAAAGAUCCCUGUUCAAGAAUUCAUCCGAUUAACCAGUUAACUUGCCGAUUAAUCCCUACUCGUAGGGUCAUGAGUAGCCGAUAAACUCAAAAAUCGUCCGAUUAAUUGAUUAAAUGGCCGAUUAACUUGCCGAUUAGUCGAUUAAUCCCCUACUCACCAGCCAACCGAGCAGCUACUAGUUAACGAUUUCCUCAACAAUGACAAAGAUUGGAUACAAGUGAUGAACUAGGGUUUGAGAUGAGAUGGUGCUGGUGAAGAUGUUGAUGGAUAUUGACCCCCUCCCGAUGAGAGGAUCAUUGGUGAUGACGAUGGUGAUGAUUUCCCCCUCCCGGAGGGAAGUUUCCCCGGCAGAACAGCUCCGCCGGAGCCCUAGAUUGGUUCCGCCAAGGUUCCGAUUCGUGGCGGCAGAGUUUCGUCCCGUGAGCUUGCUUAUGAUUUUUUCUUCGACAUUACUCCAUAUAGCCAAAGAUGGGCAUCGGAGGGCCACCAGGGGGCCCACGAGGCAGGGGGCGCACCCAGGGGGUAGGGCGUGCCCCCCACCCUCGUGGGCGGUGGGUGGCCCCCCUCUGGUACUUCUUUCGCCCAAUAUUUUUUUAUAUUCUGAAAAUAAUUCCCUAGAGUUUCAGGACUUUUGGAGAUGUGCAGAAUAGGUCUCUAAUAUUUGCUCCUUUUCCAGCCCAGAAUUCCAGCUGCCGGCAUUCCCCCUCUUCAUGUAAACCUUAUAAAAUAAGAGAGAAUAUGCAUAAGUAUUGUGACAUAAUGUGUAAUAACAGCCCAUAAUGCAGUAAAUAUCGAUAUAAAAGCAUGAUGCAAAAUGUACAUAUCAACUCCCCCAAGCUUAGACCUCGCUUGUCCUCAAGCGAAAGCCGAAAUCGAAAAAUAUAUCCACAUGUUUAGAGAUAGAGGUGUCGAUAAAAAUAAAAUGCAGACAUGAGGGCAUCAUGAUCAUUCUUAGAACAGCAACAUAUAUAUAUAUAUAUUGUCAUAUGAUCUCUUAUACUAAAGUAACAAUUCAAUCACAAUUUCAAGUAUGAAUCAUACACAUCGUUGAGAACCAACAAACUCUAAUCUCAGUCAUUGAAGCAAUUGCAGUUUAUCAUAACAUAGGAAAGAGUCAAUAUAAGAGCUUCUCAGCAAGUCCAUAUACUCAACCAUCAUUUAGUCUUUCACAAUUGCUAACACUCACGCGAUAUUUAUGGUUAUGAAGUUUUAAUCGGACACAGAGUAAGUAGGGGCUUAUAGUUUUGCCUCCCAACCUUUUACCUCAAGGGUAAUGUCAACAAUAAUAGUUCAUGAAAACUCACAUCCAAUUAGCUAUAUAUACCUGGAUCUUUCCAACACAUUGUGCUUGCCAAAGGAUAAAAUGUAAAAAGGAAGGGUGAAUAUCACCGUGACUCUUAUAUGAAGUAUAAGACAGGAAUAAAAGAUAGGCCCUUCGCAGAGGGAAGCAGAGGUUGUCAUGUGCUUUAUGGUUGGAUGCACAAAAUCUUAACGCAAAAGAACGUCACUUUAUAUUGCCACUUGUGAUAUGGACCAUUAUUAUGCAGUCUGUCGCUUUUAUUUCUUCCACAUCACAAGAUCGUACAAAGCUUAUUUUCUCCGCGCUAAUAAAUCAUACAUAUUUAGAGAGCAAUUUUUAUUGCUUGCAACGAUGACAACUUACUUGAAGGAUCUUACUCAAUCCAUAGGUAGAUAUGGUGGACUCUCAUGGCAAAACUGGGUUUAAGGAUAUUUGGAAGCACAUGUAGUAUCUCUACUUGGUGCAUAGAAUUUGGCUAGCAUGAGAGGGAAAGGCAAGCUCAACAUGUUGGAUGAUCCAUGACAAUAUAAUUUAUUUCAGAUGUAAGAAAACAUAACCCAUUACGUUGUCUUCCUUGUCCAACGUGGACUCUUUAGCAUGUCAUAUUUUAAUGAGUGCUCACAAUCAUAAAAGAUGUCCAAGAUAGUAUAUUUAUAUGUGAAAACCUCUCUUUCCUUAUUACUUCCCAUUAAUUGCAACGAUGACCAAAACUAUGUUUGUCAACUCUCAACAAUUUUUAUUCAUCAUACUCUUUAUAUGUGAAGUCAUUACUCUCCAUAAGAUCCAUAUGAUCUCUUUAUUUCUUUUUAUUUCUUCUCUUUUAUUCUAUUCCCUCAAGAUCAUAACAAAAUAAUCAAGCCCUUGACUCAACACUAAUCUUUAUUAUAUAUAGCUCACGGACUCGAUUACAUAGAAGGGUCAUAAAGCAAAACUAAAGAACUAGAUCAUACUAAAACUUUAUUCUACUAGAUCAAGAUAUAACAAAAAGGGUCGAACUAAGAAAAAUGGUAAAUAUAAAAGUGAUGGUGAUACGAUACCGGGGCACUCCCCCAAGCUUGGCACUUUCCAAGGGGAGUGCCCAUACCCAUGUGUUUAUGUUUCCUUCCUCGGAGGUGGUGAUGAUGGAGUUGUUGGUGAUGUAGGCUUAUCGUCCAUCUUCCAAGGCAUAGGCUCACCAUCAUAGAAGGAUGAUCGAGUCUCCGGGAUCCUCAAAUUUGCAGCCAAACUCAUCCUCUUGAAUCUAUAUUCAUACUCAUAAUUUUGGUUUUGCAGGUCAUAGAUCUGGGCUUGGAGGCGCUCGAUUUUCUCGUGAAGUUUGAAGAUGGCCUCCCCAAUGUUCUUGUCAUCCAGCUUGUGGUUGUUGGUGAACUCCAUGAUCAUUAUAUGAUUGGAGUCAAGUCCACGUUCCACCAUCACCUGGCACUUGAAAACUUGUUGCUCCAAUGCCUCGAGCCUUGUUUCCACGCUUUCGGUCCUCCUUGGUCCCUCAACAUCGCGGAUAUGCAGCAACCCCUCACGCAUCUCAAUGGUUUGAGGGUGUUGCAGCACCUCCGCGAGGUAGGUAUUGAUGACCUUCUCGAAGAACUUGUCCUUGGGGGCACUUGAAGACGCCAUGGCGAUCUAUAUCUGUCAGAAAAAUAGCUCGAAACAAAAAUAGGAGAUAUUUGCAUGGUACGGUGGUAAAAACCUUCGGGAGAUUAUAUAAUUAAUUUUUACCGACCAAAAGAAGUAUCAUGUAAGAAAACGGAGUCCUGAGAGCACACGAGGUGCCCACGAGGCAGGGGGCGCGCCCAGGGGGGUAGGGCGCGCCCUCCACCCUCGUGGAUGCCUCGUGUCCUUCCCGGACUACUUCUUAUUUUUCCUAUUUUCUUAAAUAUUCCAAAACGGAGAAAAAUUGCCAUUAGAACUGUUUUGGAGUCGGCUUACUUACCAUACCACGUACCUAUUCCUUUUCGAAGUCUAAAACGUUUGGAAAGUGUCCCUUAUGUAUUCCUCCGGGGUUACGGUUUCAAUAACAUUAGUUUCAACAUUUAUGGGAUUACCUGAGAUAUAAUGUUUGAUUCUUUGACCAUUCACCACCUUCGGAUUUGUGCCUUCGAAGUUGUUGAUUUUUAUGGCACCGGAAUGGUAGACCUCCUUGAUGACGUAAGGACCUUCCCAUUUAGAGAGAAGUUUGCCUGCAAAAAAUCUUAAAAUGAGAGUUGUAUAACAAUACAUAACCACCUACAUUAAACUCACGUUUUUGUAUCCUUUUAUCAUGCCAUCUUUUAACUUUUUCUUUAAACAGUUUGGCAUUCUCGUAGGCCUGGGUUCUCCAUUCAUCAAGUGAGCUAAUGUCAAAAAGCCUCUUCUCACCGACAAGUUUAAAGUCAUAGUUGAACUCUUUAAUAGCCCAAUAUGCUUUAUGUUCUAGUUCAAGAGGUAAGUGACAUGCUUUACCAUAAACCAUUUUAUACGGAUACAUACCCAUAGGAUUUUUAUAUGCAGUUCUAUAAGCCCAUAAUGCAUCAUCAAGUUUCUUGGACCAAUUCUUUCUAGAUCUAUUGACAGUCUUUUGCAAAAUUAAUUUAAACUCUCUAUUGCUAAGUUCUACUUGACCACUAGACUGUGGAUGAUAUGGAGAUGCAAUUCUAUGAUUAACAUCAUACUUAGCAAGCAUUUUACGAAAGGCACCAUGAAUAAAAUGUGAACCACCAUCAGUCAUUAAGUAUCUAGGGACUCCAAACCUCGGAAAAAUAACUUCUUUAAGCAUCUUAAUAGAGGUGUUAUGAUCAGCACUACUAGUUGGAAUAGCUUCUACCCACUUAGUAACGUAAUCAACAACAACUAAAAUAUGUGUAUACCCAUUAGAGGAAGGAAACGGUCCCAUAUAAUCAAAACCCCAAACAUCAAAUGGUUCAAUAACAAGUGAAUAAUUCAUAGGCAUUUCUUGAUGUCUACUAAUAUUACCAAUUCUUUGACAUUCAUCACAAGACAAAAAAAACUUAUGGGGAUCCUUGAAGAGAGUAGGCCAAUAAAAACCGAAUUGCAAUACCUUAUGUGCAGUUCUAUCUCCAGCAUGUUGUCCUCCAUAAGCCUCGGAGUGGCACUUGCGUAGGAUAUGUUCCUGUUCAUGCUCAGGUACACAACGUCUAAUAACACCAUCUACUCCUUCUUUAUAAAGAUGUGGGUCAUCCCAGAAGUAAUGUCUUAAAUUAUAGAAGAACUUUUUCUUUUGCUGGUACGUGAAACUAGGUGGUAUAAAUUUAGCAACAAUAUAAUUAGCAUAAUCAGCAUACCAUGGAGCAGUACGAGAAGCAUUUAUGACAACUAAUUUUUCAUCAGGAAAGCUAUCAUCAAUAGGUAGUGGGUCAUCAAGAACAUUUUAUAACCUAGACAAGUUGUCUGCAACGGGGUUCUCAGCUCCUUUUCUAUCAAUAAUAUGCAAAUCAAAUUCUUGAAGCAAGAGAACCCAUCUAAUAAGUCUAGGUUUAGCAUCUUUCUUUCCCAUAAGAUAUUUAAUAGUAGCAUGAUCAGUGUGUACAGUUACUUUAGAAUCAACAAUAUAAGGUCUGAACUUAUCACAAGCAAAUACAACUCCUAAAAAUUCUUUUUCAGUAGUGGCAUAAUUUCUUUGGGCACUGUCUGGAGUUUUACUAGCAUACUGAAUAACAUUUAAUUUCUUAUCAACUCUUUGUCCUAGAACAGCCCCUACAGCAUAGUCACUAGCAUCACACAUAAUUUCAAAUGGUAAAUUCCAAUCAGGAGGAUGAACAAUAGGUGCAGAAAUCAAAGCUUUCUUAAGUAUUUCAAAUGCUUCUACACAAUCAUCAUCAAAGACAAAAGGAACAUCUUUUUGUAAGAGAAUAGUCAGAGGCCUAGAAAUUUUAAAGAAGUCCUUAAUGAACCUCCUAUAAAAACUGGCAUGACCAAGGAAACUUCUUAUACCUUUAAUGUCCUUGGGACACGACAUCUUUUCAAUAGCAUCAACUUUAGCUUUAUCAACUUCAAUACCUCUUUCGGAAAUUUUAUGCCCCAAGACAAUACCUUCAUUAACCAUAAAGUGGCACUUAUCCCAAUUCAAGACAAGAUUAGUUUCUUCACAUCUCUACAAAACUCGAUCAAGGUUGCUUAAGCAAUCAUCAAAAGAAGUUCUGUAAACGGAGAAAUCAUCCAUGAAAACCUCAACAAUCUUUUCACAAAAGUCAGAGAAUAUAGCAGUCAUACAUCUUUGAAAGGUAGCAGGUGCAUUACAUAAACCAAAAGGCAUACGUCUAUAAGCAAAGGUACCGAAAGGGAAAGUAAAAGUUGUCUUUUCUUGAUCCUCUUUUGAUACAGGAAUUUGAGAGAAACCAGAAUAACCAUCUAGAAAGCAAAAAUGUGUAUGCUUGGAUAAUCUUUAUAGUAUUUGAUCAACAGAAGGUAAAGGGUAAUGAUCAUUUUUAGUAGCUUUAUUUAAUUUGCGGAAAUCAAUUACCAUUCUAUAACUUGUAACAAUUCUUUGUGGGAUCAAUUCAUCUUAAUCAUUAGGAACAAUAGUAAUACCUCCCUUCUUAGGGACACAAUGGACAUGACUUACCCACUGACUAUCAGUAACGUGAUAAAUUAUACCUACCUCUAGAAGCUUUAGUAUUUCUUUUCUUACCACUUCUUUCAUCUUAGGAUUUAACCUUCGUUGGUGAUCAACAACUGGUUUAGCGUCUUUCUCCAGUUUUAUUUUGUGCUGGCAUAGAGUGGGACUAAUGCCCUUAAGAUCAUCAAGAGUAUAUCUGAUAGCAGCAUGAUGCUUCUUCAGAGUUUUCAAUAAUUUCUUUUCUUCAUGCUCUGAAAGGUUAGCACUAAUAAUAACAGGAUAUAUAUCUUUCUCAUCAAGAUAAGCAUAUUUAAGAGUAUCAGGUAAAGGUUUAAGCUCAAACACAGGAUCACCCUUAGGUGGAGGAGGAUCCCCUAGGAUUUCAACAGGCAAGUUGUGUUUCAAAAUAGGUCCCUGUUUAAAGAAUACUUCAUCUAUUUCCCUUCUUUCAUUCAUAAACAUAUCAUUUUCAUGGUCUAGCAAAUAUUGUUCCAAACGAUCAGUAGGAGGCACAACAAUAGAAGCAAGACCAAUAAUUUCAUCUUUACUAGGCAAUUCUUUAUCAUGGGGUUGUCUAUGAAACUUAGCAAAAUUAAACUCAUGAGACAUAUCACCCAAACCAACAGAAACAAUAUCCUUAUUACAGUCUAUCUUAGCAUUAACAGUAUUCAAGAAGGGUCUACCAAAUAUAAUGGGACAAAAGUCAACUUGUGGGGAACCAAGAACAAGAAAAUCAGUAGGAUAUUUAACUUUUCCACACAAGACUUCAACAUCUCUUACAAUCCCAACUGGUGAGAUAGUAUCUCUAUUGGCAAGCUUAAUAGUAACAUCAAUCUCUUCUAUCUCAGCAGGUGCAAUAUCAUGCAUAGUUUCUUUGUAUGAGGAAUGAGCUAUUGCACUUGUACUAGCAACCAUAUCACAUAAGCCAUGAUAGCAAUGAUCUCCUAUUUUAACAGAAAUAACAGGCAUGCCUACAACCGGUCUAUGUUUAUUUUUAGUAUCAGGUCUAGCAAUUCUAGCAGAUUCAUUGUAGAAGUAAAUAACAUGCCCAUCAAUAUUGUCGGCCAAGAGAUCUUUAACCAUAGCAACACUAGGUUCAACUUUAAUUUGCUCAAGGGGUUUAGGUGUCUUAAUACUACUUUUGUUAACCAUAGUUGAAGCUUUAGCAUGAUCCUUUAUUCUAACAGGGAAAUGUGGUUUCCCAAUAUAAGCAGUAGGAACAACAAGAUCAUUAUAAGUGAUAGUCUUUUCUUUAACUUUAAUAGGUGCAACUACUUUUACUUCAAUGGGAUGAUUAUAUUUAAACCACUUCUCCUUAGGGAGAUCAACAUGAGUAGCAAAGGAUUCACAGAAAGAAGCUACUAUCUCAGAGUCAAGUCCAUAUUUAGUGUUAAAUUCACGGAAAGCAUCGGUAUCCAUAAAAGAUUUAACACAAUCAAACUUAGGUGUUAUACCUGACUCCUUACCUUUGUCGAGGUCCCAAUCUUCAGAGUUGCGUUUAAUUAUUUCCAAUAAAUCCCAUUUGAAUUCAAUAGUCUUCAUCUUAAAAGAUCCAGUACAAGAAGUAUCGAGCAUGGAGCGAUUACUGAGAGAAACCCGAGCAUAAAUUUUUUGAAUCAUUUCUUUUGAGAGCUCAUGGUUGGGGCAUGAAUAUAACAUUGACUUAAGCCUCCCCCAAGCUUGAGCGAUGCUUUUUCCUUCGCGAGGCCAAAAAUUAUAUAUAUAAUUGCGAUCACGAUGAACCAGAUGCAUAGGAUAAAACUUCUGACGAAAUUUCAAUUUCAAUCGUUGGUAGUUCCAUGAUCCAAUAUUAUCACAUAGCCUAAACCAUGUCAAUGCAUCUCCCUUCAAAGAUAAAGGGAAGACCUUCUUCUUGAUAACAUCCUCGGGCAUACCUGCAAGCUUAAAUAAUCCACAAACUUCAUCCACAUAGAUUAGGUGCAAAUCGGGAUGUAAUGUUCCAUCACCUGUGAAAGGAUUAGCUAGCAGUUUCUCUAUCAUACCCGAAGGAAUGUCAAAGUAAACAUUUUCAGUAGGUUCAGUAGGUUGAGGAGCAACUCUUUGCUCUACUGGUCGGGGUGAAGAUACCCCGAACAAGCCCCUCAAAUGAUUAUGUUCCAUAGUAACAAGUGACAGUAAAUUUCAGCACACUACAUAAAUUCUUCCUUACCAAAGGCGCUUCACUCCCUGGCAACGGCGCCAGAAAAGAGUCUUGAUGACCCACAAGUGUAGGGGAUCUAUCGUAGCCUUUUCGAUAAGUAAGAGUGUCGAGCCCAACGAGGAGCAGAAGGAAAUGAUAAGCGGUUUUCAGCAAGGUAUUUUCUGCAAGCACUGAAAUUAUCGAUAACAGAUAGUUUUGUGAUAAGGUAAUUGGUAACUGGUAACAAAUAGUAAAAGUAAAUAAGGUGCAGCAAUAUGGCCCAAUCCUUUUUGUAGCAAAGGACAAGCCUGGACAAACUCUUACAUAAAGGAAAGCACUCCCGAGGACACAUGGGAAUUAUUGUCAAGCUAGUUUUCAUCACACUCAUAUGAUUCACGUUUGGUACUUUGAUAAUUUGAUAUGUGGGUGGACCGGUGCUUGGGUACUGUCCUUACUUGGACAAGCAUCCCACUUAUGAUUAACCCCUAUUGCAAGCAUCCGCAACUACAAUAGAAGUAUUAAGGUAAACCUAACCAUAGCAUGAAACAUAUGGAUCCAAAUCAGCCCCUUACGAAGCAACGCAUAAACUAGGGUUUAAGCUUCUGUCACUCUAGCAACCCAUCAUCUACUUAUUAGUUCCAAAUGCCUCCCUCUAGGCCCAAACAAUGGUGAAGUGUCAUGUAGUCGACGUUCACAUGACACCACUAGAGGGAUGACAACAUACAUCUCAUCAAAAUAUCAAACGCAUACCAAAUUCACAUGACUGCUUAUAGCAAGACUUCUCCCAUGUCCUCAGGAACAAACAUAACUACUCACAAAUCAUAUUCAUGUUCAUAAUUAGAGGGGUAUUAAUAUGCAUAAUGGAUCUGAACAUAUGAUAUUCCACCAAGUAAACCAACUAGCAUCAACUACAAGGAGUAAUCAACACUACUAGCAACCCACGGGUACCAAUCUGAGGUUCGGAUACAAAGAUUGGAUACAAGAGAUGAACUAGGGUUUGAGAUGAUAUGGUGCUGGUGAAGAUGUUGAUGGAGAUUGACCCCCUCCCGAUGAGAGGAUCGUUGGUGAUGACGAUGGUGAUGAUUUCCCCCUCCCGGAGGGAAGUUUCCCCGGCAGAACAGCUCCGCCGGAGCCCUAGAUUGGUUCCGCCAAGGUUCCGCGUUUCGUCCCGUGAGCUUGCUUAUGAUUUUUUACUCGAAGAAAGACUCCAUAUAGCCAAAGAUGGGCAUCGGAGGGCCACCAGGGGGCCUAUGAGGCAGGGGCGCGCCCCCACCCUCGUGGAUGGCGGGUGGCUCCCCUCUGGUACUUCUUUCGCCCAAUAUUUUUUAUAUAUUCUGAAAGUAAUUCCCGUGGAGUUUCAGGACUUUUGGAGAUGUGUAGAAUAGGUCUCUAAUAUUUGCUCCUUUUCCAGCCCAGAAUUCCAACUACCGGCAUUCCCCCUCUUCAUGUAAACCUUGUAAAAUAAGAGAUAAUAUGCAUAAGUAUUGUGACAUAAUGUGUAAUAACAGCCCAUAAUGCAGUAAAUAUUGAUAUAAAUGCAUGAUGCAAAAUGGACAUAUCAAGUUCCGUUAGCAUGAUGGCGUGGUGACAGUGAUGGUGACAUGAUCCGCGCUGGGCUUCGCCUAAGCACUACGACGCUAUGACUGGAGGAGUAAACUGUGGAGGGGGGCAUCGCACACGGCUAAGAGAACUGUUCAUCUCCCUUUGGCGUGCCCCCGCCCUCGUAUAUAAAGGAGGGGAGAGGAGGCGGCCGGCCAGGAGGGGGCACGCCAAGGGGGAGUCCUACUAGGACUCCCAGUCCUAGUAGGAUUCGCCCCCACCUUUCCCUUUCUUCACCGGAGGGAAAAUGAAGGAGAUGGAGAGGGAGAGGGAAAGGGGGGCCCGCACCCCCUCCUCCUUGUCCUAUUCGGACCCCCUAGGAGGGGGACGCCCCCCAUGGGCUUCCCUCUCUCUCCCCUAGGCCCAUGUAGGCCCAAUACUUCCCCAGGGGGUUUCGGUAACCCCUCGGUACUCCGGUAAAAUACCCGAAUCACUCGGAACCGUUCUGAUGUCCGAAUACUACCUUCCAAUAUAUGAAUCUUUACCUCUCGACCAUUUUGAGACUCCUCGUCGUGUCUGUGAUCUCAUCCGGGACUCUGAACAAACUUCGGUCACCAAAACACAUAACUCAUAAUACAAAUCGUCAUCGAACGUUAAGCGUGCAGACCCUACGGGUUCGAGAACUAUGUAGACAUGACCGAGACACAUAUCCAAUCAAUAACCUAUAGCGGAACCUGGAUGCUCAUAUUGGUUCCUACAUAUUCUACGAAGAUCUUCAUCGGUCAAACCGCAAUAACAAUAUAUGUUAUUCCCUUUGUCAUCGGUAUGUUACUUGCCCGAGAUUCAAUCGUCGGUAUCAUCAUACCUAGUGCAAUCUCGUUACCGACAAGUCUCUUUACCCGUUUCGUAAUUCAUUAUCCCGCAACUAACUCAUUAGUUACAUUUCUUGCAAGGCUUAUAGUGAUGUGCAUUACCGAGAGGGCCCAGAGAUACCUCUCCGAUACUCGGAGUGACAAAUCCUAAUCUUGAUCUAUGCCAACCCAACAAACACCUUCGGAGACACCUGUAGAGCAUAUUUAUAAAUACCCAGUUAUGUUGUGAUGUUUGAUAGCACACAAGGUGUUCCUCCGGUAUUCGGGAGUUGCAUAAUCUCAUAGUUAGAGGAAUAUGCAUAAGUCAUGAAGAAAGCAAUAGCAAUAAAACUUAACGAUCAUUAUGCUAAGCUAACAGAUGGGUAUUGUCCAUCACAUCAUUCUCUAAUGAUGUGAUCCCAUUCAUCAAAUGACAACACAUGUCUAUGGGCAGGAAACUUAAUCAUCUUUGAUUAACGAGCUAGUCAAGUAGAGGCAUACUAGGGACACUCUGUUUUGUCUAUGUAUUCACACAUGUACUAAGUUUCUGAUUAAUACAAUUCUAGCAUGAAUAAUAAACAUUUAUCAUGAUAUAAGGAAAUAUAAAUAACAACUUUAUUAUUGCCUCUAGGGCAUAUUUCCUUCAUCCCCCUAGCGCACGCCUCCCACCCUUGCCACCGCCUCGCGGCUCUUCUGACUUUGACUCCAAGUCCCCUGGGUGUAUUUUGGUCCAAGAAAAGUCAUCGUGAAGUUUUAUUCCGUUUGGACUUCGUUUGGUAUUCCUUUUCUACGAAGCUUGAAAACAAGGAAAAAACAAAACUGGCACUGGGCUCUAGGUUAAUAAGUUUGUCCCAAAAAUAAUAUAAAAUAGCAUAUUAAUGCAUAUAAAACAUCCAAAACAGAUAAUAUAAUAGCAUGUUACAAUCAAAAAUUAUAGAUACGUUGGAGACGUAUCAAUGAGUUGGGUGAGGGUUUGGGGUUCUUAGUGGGUGGUUUUUUUCGUUCUUCCUGGCAGUUUGGGAUGUUUUUUCGUUCUUGUUGGGUAUGCCUUCGUCUCCUCUGUUUAAAGCAUUUUUGCCAAAAAAUAUCAUGGUUUGUGUUGUUUUCAAUUAAUCCACUGGCUACCUUUCUCCAUCUCCCUUGCCACCUAUGUGUUUAUUCGAGAACACCUUCACUGGCAUGCCUCCAGUGUUUUAGGUAUGAGUUUUCUAGAUCAAGUUUUCUAGUGCAUCGAACAAGUUGGUGGGGACUCAGAGUAUGUUUUUAAUUCUUUGUUUGGUUUUGUCCAUCUCUUUUGGGUGGUCCUUUUUUAUCUUUUCCCAUGCACCAAAUCAAAGUCGGCUCUUGUUUGUUCCAUGGUUGGUAUCUUCUACCCAAUCCAGGGCUUAUUCCUCUAAAUUUUGUUGGUAAAAUCCAUCCGAAGACUUUGGCAACCAAGCAGUUACAUGCUCCUCGAGUUGUCGCAACUUGCAUUUGGGCGGAUAUGGUUCUUGGCGUCACCCAUUAAUUGGUGUCAGCCCUGCCUAGUAGUCGGCAACUCCCCAUGUGGUUAGCGUGGAUGCGAUUUGGAUGCCUUUAUGAAACAGUGGAAGCAUUUAUUUAUGAAGGAACAACACGUGCACUACCCAUUGACAGUGAAAAGGGCGCAUACUGUGCAUGCAAUGAUAUGUAGUGCUUGUUUCCAGCUCGUCUGUGGUUGUAUCAAGGGAUUUCAAUAUCCCUUUUUAUACACCUUGCUCAAUUAAAGAGAAUGACUAGGGGUUUAAGUUUGCCAAAGAAAACCAAGAGAAUAGGUCGUCGUGACCAAACAAGACUCAUCAUUGUGUCAUUGCAUUGGGGUUAAAGUUUCAAGAAAAAUGUUGAAAUUAUAACUUUCAUUGAGAAAAUAGAUAAUGAAUCAUGUUGAUGGAUGAGAAACCUAAGCCAACUCUUCACCAAAAUGUUAUUUAUGGACUAAUAUGGAAUAGCAGAUAAUAGUUAAUACAUCGUUGGGACUUGUAUAAUCUCUUUUCGAGUCGAAACAAUAUAGGGAUCAACCUUUUUGUAGGUACAAACUUUGCACUUUAGGAACGAUAAGGUUACAUAUAGACCCAAAGAAUACACGUAACUCCGCUAAAGGCUAGUGAGGUGUUGGAUGGCCACAACCAGGUUUCCUCGAGCACAUACAAAGCUACCACGUGUCACCGCCACUGACUUGAUCUUGGCUUGUACAUGACCAUCCCGAGCUCAAGCUUUCUCGCACAAAACAACAACGUAGGAAAACUCCCACGUAACACACUAACGACCUCACGUGACCAUGAGCAUUGUCGGGAUAUGGCAUUUCUAGUGGCACACAUGAUUGAGGGUAUGUUUCCUUGGAGUAUAACAACAUCCAGAGAGGAAAUAAAAACAAAACCAAAAACUCUAUCAUCCAAAUGCAAAUGAGCAAAAGCACUUCUAAAACAAAUCGGACAACAAAUCUGGCAGGUGGUGACAUAAGGGGGUAAAGUAGUAAAAACAACCUCAACACUCGAAACAUUUAACGCCGUGAGUCGAUCUUAAAUCCACACGCCAGCCACAAUCUUCUUUGUUUCACCCCCUAUAAGAGUUGAUACAAGGCACCACGUGUAGGUUGGGUGCAAAAAGAUUUUGGAUAGUCGACGUCGAUCAAGGGGUUGGGAAAUAAAAAUCAUAGCACCUCACAUUCCAAGCGAAUGAUUAGAGAAAGAAAGAGAGGGGCAUUAGGAGCAUUGGCAAACAAAUCUGAGUGUCGCCGUGUACUUGAUAAUGGGGAAAUGGCAUUAUAACCACUCCCAAGCCCCUUUACUUUCUUCGCCUUGUCGUCAUCCUCAUGGCCUAGAGGGGAAGGAGCAUAAGAAAAAUAGGGGAUGAUCCAGAUCUAUUCUCCCAUCUAUUGAUAAACAUGAUUUAUAAAACUAAAAUCUAGCACUAGGCAUGUAUGUUGUACGAAUGAGAAGGUGUUCAAGCCCCAUUCCCCCUUCUCUUACAAAACUCGACGAAGAGAAUAGGGAGAUAUGUGUCGGAGGGAGAGAGAGAGAGAGACGAGAGACAAGAGAGAGAGAGAGAGAGAGAGAGAGAGAGAGAGAGACGAGAGAGACGAGAACAAGGUAUAUGGGAAGAAGAGGAGAGUUGUAUAAUCUCAAUAUGUCAAAAUAUUGAGACAUGUUCCUUGAGAGUUCUCUAUGGUCACACCUCACCUAGUGAAAAUAAUCAUGACAUUAACUGCAUUGGUGAUAAUGUGAUUAACAUGAGAGUGAAAUGCACCAUAUGUUCCAAAACUAUUUUGAGUGACUCGUGUGGGUCCUAGCACUUUGAUAAUUGCCAUCCAUGCCACGAAAGUGUAAAUAGUGAGCCAGUUCAUCUAUGUCCAAAUCUGCCCGAUGCUAUUUGACUGUCCUAGCCGGUCAAGAUGGAGAGGAUGAUGUGUGCAGUGAUGAGAGGCGGUUCCUUAUUUGGCUUGGUUGUGGAGACAAAGACACGACGUUUGGAGGUUGGAGUAAGAUGUGAUCAUAUUGUAAUUCGAGGUAGCCAAUGCCACGUGGUGUGCUUCCAACCUCAAUUGCUUGCUACUCAACCCUUGUCCUCGAAGAUGAUGCACGCCUCCUUCUGCUCUUUGGUACGCAUCAGUUCUUGUCGUGGUGACCUACUUGUACUAUUAGGCUCCGACCACAUCUACAUCGACCUCUCUACUAGUCGUUCUAACUCCCCUUCAACUCCUCCUCCCCUCUCACGCUUGAUUCCGCCGGGGCUUGUCCGCAAGCUCGAUAGCCUAGCCCCACCACAAUGACACUUUACACUUUCAGUAGACGCAAGGAAGCUCCCCACCAAUGAGCCCCGUCACGCUCCAGAGAAACACACUUGAUGAUGACGCCAUGAGGCGCUGCCCGAAAGACGCCUUACUUUAAGAGUGGACCUAUGACAAGGAUGUGGUCCCUCCUCCCAUGUGCCACUCGUCCAUUCUCCUAAUCUUAAAACUCUAAACUAAAAAGCAAACCCGAUCACGAGCUCGAUUCCUCGAGGAGGAAGAACACAAAGAGUAUGAGAACGAAGAAAUAUAUGAAUGAUUCUAAGGCUUCAUUUGAGGUGACAUAUAACCAGAAGGUUGUUGCAAAAAAAAACAAAUCAACCGAAUUUGACAGAAAUUAUGUUGCCGAUCCUCCUUUUGUCCGGUGUCGCCGGUCAACACGCCAGCUGAGACAUUCAAAUGGCACCGCGACAACUUUUGAACCUGAAUGACUCAGAUUACGCUAUCAAUGCCUAGAUGAUGAUUUUCAAGGUUUCAAGAUCUAUGUGAUAGAAAUUCAAAAUACUUUAGAGACAUAGUACAAUGCACUUCACUCUAAAGAUUUUGACAUAGUGUGAGGCCCCGAGGGCAUAAUUGUCUAGUCGAGUUCACAGUUUCUCAGAUCAGAUCCAAGCAUCCAAGAUCCAACGAUCAGCAACUCCCACGGCUCCACGGAUCUCCGACCUUUAUCUCCCGAUCUUUCACACGCCGGCAGCAGCGCCAGCAACACAUCCGGGGUCUCCCCAUCAUCUUCUCCGUCACACCUACCAGCAGAGGAGAGGGAUCUCUCUCCCUCCGCCUCCCCAUCCAUGGCGGCGCCGAGCUGGAUCCGGCUGCCGCGCGCCACCGUAAUCCUGCUCCUGCUCGCCCUCCACCUCUCCCUCUCCCUCGCCGCCCAGUUCGAGGGGUUCGACUCCGACGAGCUCCCCUCCGCCGCCGCCGCCGACGUCGCGUCCUCCGACGAUGACGACGAGGGGCUCGACAUCGACCUCCCGCCCCCUCCGCCCAUCACCGUCUCCGUCUCCGCCCCUUCCCCUCCCGUGACCACCACCACCACUGCCGCAAACCCUAACCUCACCCCCAACCCCGCGGUCACGCCCCCGAAUCCCACCCCCUCGCUCGACUUCUGGGACGAGGACGAGUUCGAGGGCAUCCCCGUUCCAGAAGCGGCGGCCUCCGGCGACUCCUCCGCGCCGGCCGAGUCCGCCUCGUCAGAUCCCUCCGCCGAGGAAGCGGCCGAGGCGGCGCCGGCCGCGCCGAGGGGCCCCGCGGAGCUCCUCCGCGCGUUCGCCGUCGAGAUCGCGUGCGUCAGCUUCCUGAUCUGCUUCGUGCUCAACUACUUCACCGGGAAGCGGCAGAACGAGGCGAUCGCGCUGGCCUGGGCCACCAAGUUCGCCACCAGGGACUCCAUCUUCGACAAGAACUUCAGCCUCCUCGGCACCGGCGACGGGAAGGACACGCCGCUCCUGCUCAAGGAAGGGCAGGACGUGUUCAAGUUCUACGCCAGCGGCAGGCGCUUCUGCCAGGGGGUGCUCGCCACCAUGGAGAUGCGUGCGCGGCACGACCUGCUGUCCAAGCUGCUGGAGCUGGUCUUCCCCAGGAAGGACACCAUCACUUUCGAGGUGGUGAUGAACGAGGAUGCCAUGGAUCACGUGAUGGUGGCUGUGGCUAGGAAGAAGGCGGCCAAGGCGAUGCAGAAGGAGGAGAGGGAUCUGCAGAAGUUUGCCUCUGUUCUCGCUCCUGCAUCCGCUGGGAAGAAGUGGGUUGCAGAUGAGCUUGCAGUGGUGGCCGAGUCAAAGGAGGUUGCUGGGGAUAUGAUCACUGAGGCUGUGCUGGAUCAGGUGAGAGUUUAAUUGCUUAGCUCCAUUGAGAAUUUGCAUCUUAUAGAUACAGCUGAACUGGGUAACAUAGUUUAAACAGGAACAGAUAUCCUGCUGAUUUAGACUUUCUUUAUGAAAGCAUCAUAGGUAAUCUAAAUUAGGAUUGAGCUAGUAUAACUUUUGAAUUGUUUAAGAACAGACCAAAAGGAGAAAGGUUGAUUUGAGAACCCAACACACUCUUGAAUUAUGAUGUCAUUAAUCACAGAUAUUGGAUUUGGAUUAUGCGUGAGAUAACUUAUAAAUUACUGAAUCGAGCUUUAACUUCCAGAGAGAAUUAGCGUCAAACAAUUCCCCAUGUUUACAACUAAUAUUCCACAUGGGUAGCAUCUUGUAAGAUAUUAUAGUAUUGGUGCUAUAUUAUCAAGUGGCAACAAAAACUGCGUGUUUUUAAGCUAGCAAGUAUCGACCUAUCAUGGCAAUGUCUUUUACGUAAGAUUUUAUUUAUUUUGGACAUGCCAUAUUUGUCUGGGAAUGGUUUUUCGAGCAGCUUUUGCACAUAUGCAGAUGUUGUGCUGCAUGAUCAAACCUCAUUUGGAUAUGGAAGGGAUGUCUGGAGCCUUAAAGCCUAAAACUGUACCCCAACCACCAUAACUUCUAUGACUGAAGUAACUCCUCAGUUUUAAUACAUGAACAAAAUUAUGUGCAUUGUGUAGCCAUUCUGCUUGGAAACAGAUGUUUUUGUAGUUUGCUUAGCUUAGUGUGGGAUUUUUGUGUGUAUAGGCUGGCCUUGGUAUGGUCAGAUUUAUUGAAAAAGUAGAUUUGAUCUCAAACAGCAGGUACAAUAAAAAGCAAGCUAGUUUUUGGCCCCUGAUCUUGGUUGUAAGCAUCCAGCCAUGAGCAUAAGCCUGCCUAAAUGAUCUUCCAUAAAAUCUGAAAAAUAUCGAUGGACCCUACUACGAGGUUAUUGACUUUAGUGUGACUUUACGAUGAUUGAGCAGUGUUACACAGUGCCCUACAUCUAUUUGAUGUUCUCACUUUUUUUCUGCAGGUGCUUGGCGAGAAAGCUUUCGAGAAAAUGGGGAAGUGGUUCAUCUCACUUCAUUUUUCAGAUCAACUGGCAGGCUCUUACAAGAAAGUCCUCUCAUUCAAGUUUGUGCUGCCAGAUGCAAACAACAUGGCUGACAUGACAAAAUUAGUUGCUCUUGUGCCAUUCUACAUUGAUUUGGUUGGACGAUACAAGCUGAGCUCACAUGUAAGCACCGACCUUGUUUCUUCCUCUUGGUUCACAGGAUUUUCAGUUAUAUUUUCUAAAUCCUGCUAUCCAUGUUGAACUGUAGGCACGCUCAAAAACUGAUGCUGCUAGGACGAAGGCCGCCCAGGAGGCUUUCAGGGAACUUCAGGGUGUCAGGCAGGAAACCCUGCUGAGGAAAAAGGCCGAAAAGAAAAAACUCAUGGAAGAGGCAGAGGCCAAACUUAGCGCCGAGGUACUCCGGAAGAAAGAAGAGAAAGAGCGGAAUCGGCAGAUGAAGAAGGGGGCGCCCAAAGUUAAAAUGCUGCGCUCGUAAUAACAUCAAGAAUCUGUCAUAGUUAUUGGCUUUGCUGUUCACUCGCUGAUUAGCCUAUCUAUAGUUCAGCAUCGGCUAGACUCUUUUAUGUUCCAAUUUUGGGCCAUCAGAUUUGCUGUUAUGAGAAUCAAGCGAAAGUAAGAGAAAAAGAAAUGCUGACAAGAUGCCCGGUCCAAGUGUUUUCGUCGCAUGUUGGUGGUUCCGUCUAUCUGAUUCGGGUGCACAGCAGCUCAUUUGUAAGAAAAAACUCAAGACACUUCCCUGAUUUGCUGUGUAAUAGUAUGUUGAUAGAUCUGUGGUCAGAAACUACACUUGGCUUACAUGGUUUCAUGUUUAAGCCGGCUUGCUUGCUGCUAGCCUGUCAAUGCUCACUUUACUCGUAUCCUUUACCCCCACUGGCUGAAUAAUCGUGGCGGCAUGUUUUAUCUGUUUCAGUUUCUUGUGCUAUGCCUAGAAAUAAUACAGUAGGAAA